rnacentral:lncRNA from 1 species
CAAUGAUAGGUCAUUUGUAAACAUGCAUGAUUGUAAGAGAUAUGUAUAAGUUAGAGGAUAGUGACCGCCUAUGUACUGUGUAUUAUGUGUACGUUCAUGAGAUGUGUCCACAUGGGUAUUGUAAGUGUUCUAUCUAAGUUGGCAACAUGUUUUAGCCAGAGAACCGUGGAAGACAUUUUGGGGUAUUGUGUCUAUACGACAGAGUCUCACAAAAAAGUUUGUUUUUCUUGCAGGUAUUGAUGCUUGUUGAAUAACGAUAUUCCUGUAAAUUAUUUGUGUCUACUCUGGAACUCACUAAGUUCGUUUGAACUUACUCUGUUACUUUUCCUUCCUCAAGCGUAUUGAUAGUAGAAGAGGAAUUAGUUGAAGGGGACUACGCUAGAGUUGCGGUUGUGGGUAAGCCACUUUCUUAUUUUUGUAUCAUGCAUGACUAUUUUGGCAGGUGGCGUAUAGAUCUGUUUUGUAAUCAAAUUAUGUAAUAAUUUAUGUCUUGUGCAUUGUUUCUAUUUUAAAAAGAGAAUUGCCCCUUACUAUGAAAGUAUGUGCCAAACUUUAGUGAUUUGAUGCUUAAGAUAUCAUCAUUUAUAUAUAUACGCCACAGUUGGACAGUAGAUGGAUAAUAGUUUUUUUUAUAUAAUUACUAAUACUUUUUGUUAAAAAUUCAUUACAAAAUGAAAGAAAAAUAAGUCUUUAACUAAAAAGGAAAUCUUCAUAACUUUUUUUUCUAAAAAUUUAAGUUAAGUUGAAAGGUUUGAAUCCGCCGGUAACACCCCAGUCCUUUGGGCGGUCUAUCUGGCUGAAUGUUAUACACCAUGUUUUCUUGACGGGCUAAGGGGUGUUAUAGUGUGUGGAAAUUCAACAGAAACUAUUAAUCACAUACUGAGACUCUAUUUCCUAGUUGUGGUGACAUGGUUGGUGGUGAUCAUACCAAACAAAAUACAAUAAUUUUUAACAUCAGUUUGGAGGAUUGGUUCGCGAUUAAUUUGUCUAACCUCGAUUAUUUUGCUUGUAAUUUUAAUGAUUAGCCGACCCUUUUUGGUGCUAUUUGUUGGCAAUUAUGGAUUAGAAGAAACAAUUUUAUUUUUAAUGCGGAUUUCAUUGAAGGGGCUAGUGUAUUUGAGAAGAGCUAUAGAAUGAGGGAUGAAUACCUUCACCUUAACCAGGAAAUGGUGAGCUCGUUCAGGCAGAGGCAAACUAAAGUCUUCAAAUUGAUUAGGUAGAUUCCACACGAAGAUGGGUGGCGUAAGGUUAGCACUGAUGGUGCUGUGUGUAAAGUGUUUGGGGAUGCUUCAACCGGUGGAGUAAUCAUGGACAAACAUAGUACUUGGAUUUUUUGUUUUUCUAAAUAUAUUGGUUGUUGCUCUGCACUCAAUGUCGAGCUUUGAGAAGCUUUGGAGGGACUCCAAAUAGCUUGGAGCCUAGGCCUUAAAUGGGUUAUGCUUGAGAUGGAUCAUACAAUAGCUAUCCAAUUGAUUCAAGUGGCGUCAGUUGAGUACCACCUCUCUACCGUGAUAUAAGCAAUGAAAGAUAUAUUUCAACGUUCUUGGAUAAUUCGGGUUUCACAUGUAUUCAGAAAGAGUAACCGAGUCGCCGAUGAACUGGCAGCAAUGACAUUUUCAAGGCCUUUAUGGAGGUAUAUUUAUAUGCAAUCCCCGAAUGAUAUUCUUCAAAGGAUACAUGAUAUUUAUUUAAAAUUUUAACCAUAUAUCUAUAAUUUGAUUUUUAUGAAAAACUUAAAAAAUAAAUAUAAAGAAUGAGACAACGCCACUUGUCAUAUAACUUUGUUAUAUAUAAUAUAAUAUGUGGGACCCGCAUUAAUAAACAAUAUUUUAGGUGGAAUAAUAAAUUUUAAAAAAUUAUUCUAUUUAUUUAGAGAAACAUAAAUAUAAUAAAUCUCGUAUACACUCUUUAGAAUUUAUUGGACAGGGCUUAUGGUUUAAAAUUAUAUAUUAUAUGAAAUAGAUAAUAAUUUUUAAAAGUUAUAUAUGUAUAAAUAAAAUACAUGUAUGUUAGUCCUUUGUUUUUUAAUAAUACAUUCACUUUUUAUUUAUUUAUACUAUCUUAUAUAAUUUUUUUUAUUUUUUUUUGAAUAAUACAAUUUUAAGUACUAAAUCACACUUUUGUUUUUAAAUGAUAUAUUCACUUUCUUCUCGGUUAAAAAUUCCUUAAUUUUUCAUAUUGCAAAAAUUGUUACAGAAAAUAAUGCCCAUAGUAUUUGUAUCUUUCUUUAUUAUUUUCUGAUUUAAUAAAUAUUUAAAAAUUAGAAAGAUGUAAUGCUUUAUUGUUUUAUUUAUCAAUUAUUAUUUUUAAUUUCAAAAUUAUGUAAUAAAUAUGAAUUAAUUAAUGGUGUCUUUUAAAUUAAAUACAAUAAACCUAUGCAUUUAUAUAUAACUACUACUUUACAUUGUUACUAAUUAAAGACACAUUAAUUACUUUAUAAUUAUAAUUAAUAUUAUCAUUUCUACACAUUAAAUUAUUUAAAUUCACUUAUUAACUAACUUACUUUUAUAUUCAAAUUUUGAUAGAUCUCCAUGGCUCUUAUAGUUAUAAUUAAUUUAUACAACAGUAAGUUCAUGCAUUGUAGGGGUAAGAAAACUAGUAUAUAUAUAAUAUAACAAGAUACAAAAGUAUCUACAUUACCAUCUGCCAUCCCUUCUGUUCUAUGGUGCCUAGGAGAAUCAGUAGGGUUGUAAAUCUAUUGCCCCCUAAGUGUUAUUGGUUGGAACAAUCUUUUUUGGAUCUAUCUCCCAAUAUGGGCUACCUCUUUUGGUAUUGCUGAAGUUCCAAAAAGCGCACUAGAAGUCUCACUGAGACUAAGAAUUUGCUCUUUAAAUCACAUCACUCUCAGCUAAUCUAUGUGUGAUCUCAUACAAAGUAGACUAGUGUGUAAAUGGUUUACUAACCUAAAUUGUAUUUCAAAAAUUGAUGACUAGUACAAGGCUUGAAUGGCGAAGUCUUCUAGUACGUCUUUAGUAAUCAUGGUCACAACAUUAAAUCUUCUCACAAAAUCUCUUAAAGAUUCAUCUCCAUGUUGUUUGAUUGACAUCAAGUAUGUCAAUGAUUGUUGGAGGGUUUUGUUCAGCAAAAACCUGUUCAUGAAUAAGUCUGCCAACUGUUUGAAGUUAGAGAUGGAAUGUUGUGGGGGUGUCAAAUACUAAGCAUAAGACGAAUCAUUCUGAGUCAUAGAAAAUGCCCUGCAUUUCACCUCAUCUAAUGCACCCGAAAUGUUCAUGUGAUUAAUAUAAUGGGGCAAGUGAUCUUGAAGGCCCCUUUGCAUAUCAUAAAGCAUCUUGGGAAACUUGAAUGUCGGGGAUACGUAAUAGCGCAAUAUCUUAAGGGCUAAGGGCUCGUUGGUAUAAUUUUUAGGUAACCCUAUAGACUCUGACUUUUUGUAGUACUGCACUCCCUUUUUCAAGUGUUCUAUCUUUUCUUCUAGUGCAUAUUUAUUCAUCUUCCAGCUUUGGCGACCAUUACCAUCUUCAGGAUCAGUAACGUUCCUACUAGUAUGCUGAUGCCUAUGAGUGGACUGGAAAAUUUCAUCUUGCCUCUCCUAGGGAUUAUGCUUGUGGGCAUUUCUAGAUGCCCUCAACUCUUUAAUGAGUUUUCCAUUUCUCUUGUUUCGUGCAUCUGUUUGUCUUUGUUUUUCCAUCAGGUUCUAGAUAAACUUUUGUUGCUCUUCGUACCUUUUCCAUUGAGAGGAUAACUACCCGUCGAGUGACUUCAUUCUAGAAGGGCAUAUUCCCAUUUGCUUUUCUUUAUUUUUUUUUAUCUGGUCCUGGAUAAAUUUAAAUGUAAUGAAAUCCAUUAUAAAUUAAAUUUAUAAUUUACGAUUAAGCUUGUAUUAAAUAUUAAUCAACAAAGAAAAGUAAGGGACGAGAGGAUGAUUGUGGAAAUGUGGAUCCAGUCAUUAAGUUUUGUCACCUUAUGUCAUUAAAAUUGAUCACAUAGCAAUACAUAGUGAAUAAAUGAGGGACACAAGUGUAAAUUAAUCUCUUAAAAAUUUAAUCAAUACAUAAAAUAAAUAUGUGCAUCGCACUGUUUCUUUUUUCCUUUUUUAUAAAAUUAAUUAGAAUGAUGAAUUUUAUUAUAGAUUUAUCUGUUUAAUUAAAAAUAUAAUCAUAGUAAUAGUAAGAGAGUGAUUGAUAUGUUAAAUACAGAUUCUGAGAAUGUUAUGAUAACUUCGCUCAUUUGGAGUACUAAAGUAAAAAGUAGACAAUUCUUGAUGGUCAAAUUUCAACAUAUACGAUAGCUGAUUGUAUAAUAAAAACAUAUUCUGCAUAAGCUUUAGAAUUAAUCAUAUUUGAAUUACCUUUAAAUAAUAUUAGCAAGAUGCUAUUAAAUGAUAAAGCUGGGAAUUCUUAUAUAAGGACAAAUAGAUCUAAAUAUAUAUAUAUAAUCAUAGUAAAAAAAUUGCCAACAUAUAAAGCACGGUUUGCCGACGACACAUGGAAAUUACCACAUCAUUAUCAAUGAAGAUCUUUUGCCAUUUGUUUGUGUUAUGUUAAUAAAUUAUGGGGUGUUUCCAAUGUAUUAAAGUUAAAAAUUUACAAAAAAAAUCUGGUAAUUUUAUUUGCAUGAAAGAUGACCGCAGAAUACAAUACGAAAAAUUAACUAAAGUACGACAUUUAAAAAAAAAACCAAUUAUGUUUGAUUUUCGAUAUUUGAAUUAUAAUCCUUGGAUUUUACAACAACAAAGCCCAAAAUUUCGAACUAUGUUUUGUUUUUUUUUUUUGUAUAAUAUGAUAUUGAUUAAAUUAUUUACUAAUUGACACCUCAAAAUUUAGUGUGAAGUUUCGCCACUGCUACGUACAUAACCAGAGCCAAAUAAAAAAAGAACAAUUACGUUAAACACUUCUCGCGCAGCCUUGUAAAAUUUCUUUGAGAAGUCUUCACAAGACAUUGGAUGCAUAGUAGUACAUCUUGAUCCACCAGUCUCAUUGCAAUUGAGGUAGCUUAUGUUCACUCCUUUCUGCUGGAGAGCCAGGAACGAAGGGAACAAAACCCCGCCCACCAAACACUGGCCGCAUAAAGGCAUUAUCGAACUUGCGCCAGUAGUAAUGAACGGUGUGUGUUGGAGUUGUAAGAAGUGCGCGAAUGCUGCUUGGCUGUUGAACUCCCUUUGGACUAUCUUCAAAUGAAUCCUGAGUACUUCCCAGAAAUGGCACUGUAAUCGAUUUUGGAGAUGAUGAUCCGGAGGGUGCACUUGUUACUUUAGAAUUAGGCAGCAAGAACCUUAUUAGAGGUUUAGUCAUUAGUCCAAAAACCUGAUCAAAGCCAAACCAACAUAUAAAGUGUUACUAACGUCAACAUCUCCAACAAACUAUCAUGCUUAAGCCAAGUAAAUUAUGGAACAUCGAAAGAGAUGCUAAAAUAUGGAUUUCAGGCAUGAGAUUCGACUACCCAAAUACGAACUUCAGCAAUGUAAAACUCGAACCCUCAGUCAAGACUCUAUACAUAUGAAGAAUAAAAGAAAAUGCCAACCAUCAAAUCUCCAAGAGUUAGAAAUGAAGGCCAGAAACAUCUUACCACAGUGCUAAAAAGAACAACAGUGAUGGUGCUUGUAAUCAUAAUGGCAUUACAUCGCAAUUGUGUGUGCCCUGCCCUUGUAAACUGCAUUUAUAUUAAGUAAAAAUCUAUCAGAUUAUAUCAAUCAAACAAAUUUCUUCCUUUCUCUAUCUCGUAUUUUACUCUGACUCUUUAUUAAGUAAAAGUCUAUUGGAUUAUUCACAUUUUCAAACAUGUUGAGGAAAUAUGACCCUCCAAAUGCAUGAAAUAUUAAAAAAAAAGUUGAAGACAUACAUGUAAUAAUUGAAUGAAUCCAAUUAUUUGGAUUGGAGCAAGACAAUUCAAAUCAAUGUGCAAAGUACAUGAUACCAACCUACUGAUAAUACCAAACAAGUAUGGUCGAAAGAAUAUGCCCAAUUAUUUUUCCAGACCCAAAAAUUAAAUAAUUGCUUUGAUUGACUACUAUGAAUUCAUUGUGGAGCUAAUGGACUGUUUAGAUUUUUUGUAUUUUGAGAAACGGAAUAUAUCUUGUGCUAAAGAAGUAUGCAAAGAGUUUGUAGUCAGAAAAGCAAGAUAGGUCUCCCAUAUGGAUUUUAAGAAAAUGUAUGAGGAGCUUAAUGUUUUGUUGCCUUUUAGUCAAGAUGUGAAAGUUCAACAGACUCAAUGAGAGAAAAUGGUUGUUAUGAGUUUUCGGGUUGCUAUUCUUCCAAAAUUUGAGAUACAAUAAAGCUCAGAUCCUUGCUCUUGUUAGUCGUGGUAAGAAAAUAGUCACUGUCAGGAUUCAGAAGGAAUUAUGUUGUUAUUGCUAUGAGUCAGGCCAUAAGAAACGUUAUUAUGUGAAAUUCAAAAUAAGGUUUGAAAAUAUCAAUUAGAAAAUAUUACAAUAUCUAAUAUCAAGACCAUUUCACCAUAUGAGAAAACUUCUCCUAUCAUUGCUAUUGUAGAGUCAAGUAAAUCUAGUAUCUUCUUUCCUUAUUGUCCAAAUAGGCCUUUGAUUCUAGUGCCAAAAUCUAUAACAAGUAAUUCGAAUCUUUGUUUCACCUUUUACUCUUAUGUAUAUUCCUCUAAAGUUACAUUAGCAGAUGGCUCAACUUCUUAUGCCCUUAAGCCUACAACUGUUAAUCCUACCUUGUCAUUUUCUUUGACCUCGAUGUUAAACUAUUUUUUCUUUUAGUUUAACUCUAUUAGUAAUCUCAGCAGUACUUUAAAUUGUUGUCUUAUUUUUUCUAGAUCAUUAUCAUUUUCAAGAUCUUAUGACGAAGUAGAUUGAUAGGAGGUCCACUACAAGAUAUUGUGUUUUAAUUAGAAGAAAUUAUGUAAAUACAACACAAUCUUCUCUAUUUUCAAUCUCAGCAAAUUAUUUCUCCUAGUUUCGUUACAAAAAGGUUUCCGUUUUCCAAAGAAAUAAGAUAAUCCUGAAUUCACCUGAUUAUAAGCAAGUGCCAUAGAUACUGCACCUCUCAUGAGACCAGCCCACCAUAUUAUGAUCUGAACAAAAGAUACAAAAAGAAAUUAGUGACGUCAAAUAACAUUGUUAAUUGAUUUGGAAGCAAAGAAACAAAGAACACCACAAGCUAGUACUUGUUGCCUAAAGCUGAUUUUUUCAUUAGCUGAUUUGUGUGCUAAGUUGGAUAGAAACGACAAGGGAAACACAAAAGCUGCUCUUCCAGCCAUGACCAGUGCAAGCAGUACAGAACUAACAAUAAUUGAUGUUCCAGGUCUGCAAAUAGGAGAUCAAACCCAAUGUCACAAGAACAAAUCAUGUUGUAAAUGGAAGUUAUUUUGUACAAAUUGCAUGGAAGAAAAAAUGGGGUAAAUCUGAAAAAUAUACCUGAAGCAAAGGUUCAAGACCAAAAUGAAUCGUUAACAUACACUUGAAAAAAAAAAUAGUUUUUCCAGAAGGUGCACAGAGUAAUGUUACUCAAACACAGAUACUUGAAGAAAAAUGAAAUGUUUGAAAAACAUAGACAUAGAGCAAACCUGUCAUUUACAAAUUUCCACGUCUCAAUGUCCAAGGCAUCCAUUCCAACAUGGAGAAAGAUGAAAGUCUCACAAACAAACGACAAGGUAGCAAAAGCAUGCCUGUGUUUAAACAAAAGAUCUGAAUCAAUUGAGGCAUAUAAAGAGUUAAAACAUUUCUUUAGGUGUUAAGCAUCUAUCUUAAAAACAAUUAGCAAUAGUUAGAAGGGUGCAACUUGAAUACAAAGCUACAGAAAACCCUAAAUUUAACUGAUGUAACAUAAAGCCGCUUAAGAAGAAGUUUAUUCCCUCCAAAUAUCAAUUACCCAUAACUUUUAUUGCCCCUAAGAUAAUAACAUGGAGGACACAUACUUGGAAGUUAUUCUUGAACUCUCUGUAACAUUGUGCCAGGUAUAAUGCGACAUCACAAUCCCACAAAAGAACACCGUGAGAAUGCCACUCAAAUAGAACAGCUGCAGGGAAUGCAACAUUAGAGUUAUCCAAAUAAAAUAAAGGAAUGCAAUAACUGCUAUAUUACGCUAGAAGAAUCUUACUUCAGCCAUGAUAUAUGAAAGGUAUGCCAUGAGCAUCAUAAGAGCGAAUUCACGGUCUGUUGAGUGCCUGGAUCAUGUUAAAAUCAAGUGCAUAUAAUUAGUUCUAGACUACAAAGACGUUGUACCGUCAAAAACUCUAUUGUAAUAAUAACAUUCAUGUUCAGUUGGAGUCUUCUAUUAAGUAAAACCUUUUAAUAUCACAAAUGAUUAAAAGCAUUACAUCUCUGUAAAACUUAAUUCCCUAGAAGGGAGUAUAAGAUUCUUAUAGAGGUAUUUAUGGUUUUAUUAUUGAAAGCUAGUUGAUAUAAAAUCCAGAUAAAAUCCAAAAUAUACCUGCCAAAGUAUAACGUUUUGAUGAUAUAAGCACUUACCAGCCCAACCUACACAGAAAAGAAAAAUAUUACACCUAGGGGAAAGCUAUGCUACCAGGUUAAUCUGCAAGUGUCACAUACAUGUGUCCGAUAUGGGUAUAGUCAAUUUUUUUCUGUAAGAUUUUCUAUAUAGUUGGAGGGUCCUUAUAAGGACACAUCCUCAUAUACCAAUGUACAAAAAUGUGUUGAACACAAAUGUCUGAUACUCUGAUAUGGGUACUUCAAGAAAAAUGAAAAAUCAGAUCAAUGUAAGAUGAAACUGCAGUGUUCACAGAAUGAAUCAGAUUUGUAUGAAAAGCGCCUUACAGCCACUCCCAGCAGAGUGCUUGCUAAAAAUAAAUACAAAAAGCUGCCAAUAAACUCCAAAGCAAUUCUAUGAUUUGUAUUAGUGAGAUCAAAACUCUGGAUUGCAUUGAAAAGCACCACUGAUGUUGCAUCAUUUACAACACCCUCUCCAAAAACCAGACUGUAGAGUAAUGGAGUCUCAUCCUGAUUAAGCACCUGUACCAUCAGAAGCAGCUUCAGUUUAGUAAGUUUCAUACAGUAGUCCCUCAAUAUAGAAAUGCUACUACAAUUUUAGUUUAUGCAUGCCUGCAGUGUGCAAACAGAAUCUGUAGCAGCAAAGAUUGCACCAAUUGCUGAAAAUUGCGGGAAAAUUAGUAAGAUACACAAACAUGAACUAAGCCAGUUUGAAAAAGAAGGGAGUAAGGUCAAAUACCUAGAAAAUCUCCAAUCUCCAAUGAACCAAUAUCCAUUUCCUUAAAGAACUUGAUAACACCUGUUUGAAGAAUCAGAGUUGCUAUCACAACCAGUAAAUUAAUCUUAAGAAUAUUAGGAUGUACAUCAACAAACCAAGCCAACCCCUAACACUGCCCUUGGCUGCAUAUCCACAGACGUCAUGUAUACAAACAAAAGAUAAAACUAACGAAAUUGUACAUAUGUGUCAACUGUAUCCAUAAAGUUGUAGAAAGUACCAAAAGAUAUAAUUGACCAAGAAAUUAAUGUACCGACAGCCCCAAACAGCAUGAUGGUAAUAAAGUUACGGAAAAAUUGCUUCUUUUUCACAGAAAACCUGGCAAAAAAAGCAAAUAUCAGAAGGAAGACAAGUAAUUAAGUACAUCUAAUCCUCAGUUUUUACUCUUAAAAAGAAUUUUAUUAAAAAAUUAAACCUUGACAUUGUAAAAAGGACACUGUGUUCUUAUAUUUACAAUGUUGAAAACAAGUGGAAAUUCUCAAAGUAAUUAAGUUCAAGCCAUCUAGGUUACUUUGACACUUCAUUUAGUAUCUAUGUCCGAAACAUGAAUUCAAUGCAUAUCAUAUUAUGGGCAUGGGGAUGACCUUUGAAAGAUCUAACAAAAACUUGGAAUAAAUUGAACAAAAUCUUGGACACAUACCAUAUUUUACUCUCACAGCCAAGAAAAAAAAAGUUCCCAUUGAAUAACUGUCGCAUAGCCAUCAAUUUUAGCUUAUAUAAACUAUAACAAACAAUCUCCAUAUUUUCCAUUUACAGGAGAAAUGAAAAUGUGACGAGAACAAACUUACCCAGCAUUGAAUAUAAUAGGGGGUAGAAGAUAAAUAAAGAACAGAUCUUCACUGAAGACAAGAAGACGUGAGCUUUUACCCCCGCUCGUCAACAAAAUAACGACCCCAGUACAAAGACCCUGCCACAAAGUCAAUUAAAAUAAAACAUAUGAGAAAAAAAGCAGAACAAUAAUCCAAGCAUAACAAGACCCUGCUGAAAUGUUCAUGUGAAUAAAUCAACAUUUAUAGAUGUGAUUGUGAAGGGAGGCAUUCACAAUGGCAAGGGCAGUAAUUGAUUCGUUCAUCCAUCGGUUCUCCUCUAAAAGAUGACCGAUCACAAUGGAAGCGCAAAGAAGCGCGACGAAUAGGUUCAUGGAGACCACAGAGGCAUGGUCUGAAUACAAUGUUUGCAACUUGGAUAAGACAGCAGCUAACUGCGAUGCCACCAUUUCGACCUCUUUUUUAUCAAAGAAAUUUAUUGAAAACAAUCAGUUGAUUCUAAUUUAAUUUAGAUUCGAAUUCUCCCUCAACACUGGAUAUCUUCAAAAACUUCCAUUCCUCCUUCAGAGUUCUGCAUUUUACCCAAAAAAAAAAAGAGUUAAAAUCAUUUCUUCGCAUGUUCAUUCUCAAAACCCCCCUUUCUUUCCCCAGUUUUUCAUUCUUUCCGUUUAUAAGGCUACUCCUUGUUUGUUCCUCCAUUUUCUCAUCAACCAAACAUAAAAAGAGAAAAUUAUGGAAUCGAUUUGAAGAACCAAUGAUGACAACAACAUCCAUGAACACCACAUUUGUGUUUCAGCAUUUAAUAACUAUUUUUUUUUACAAUUUUUUUUGCCAUUUCAUUUAAUCAAAACAACAACACAAGUAAAAAAACUUCAAAUUUUCUUUCCUCCCACUAUCUCAGAUACCACACAUCCAAAAGGAAAAGAAAAACUGAAACUUACGAAAUCGUUUUGGUAGACAACAAACGCUUAUUUUAUUUUUAUUUUUUUAUAUACGGGAAUAAUUUGUGAUUUUAUUAAAACAAAACGAAAUUUCGAAAGAAUCCAAAGUCUCAAUGUUUCGAAAAUUUCCGACAAGAUUCUUCUUCGACUCUCCCAAGAAAUUUGCCAAAAAAAAAAAUUCCAGCUUUCAAAAUUUUUUCUUUUCGAUUCGUUGAAAAUAAUUUGAAGCUUUUUUGAAUAUUUCGUGUUUAGAUUUAGAGAAAUGGCAAUGGGAUUGGAGGGUAGCUAAACAGAAGAAAGGAGAGGCGAGUUGCGCGGGUGAUCAACUACAUAAAAGGAAAAUGAAAUGUAUUAAAAUACGACCGAUGAAGAAACAUUUUAAGGUAAAAGUUAAAUCCGGACCGUCAGAUGUAUUGACGGGAUUAGUUACAAAGUAAAUCACAUGGUUUAAUAUGAGAUUGGGUGUAAUGGAGUAUGGGUGUUUAAAAUUGGCGGGUUAUCCUGUUUGGGGAAAUAAUUUGCCCACUAUAUUCAUCCACUUCAUAUGGCUGGUUUUGAGACCCGGUAUUUUCAUAAAUCAGGAGAGGGUGAGGCCGCGAUUCUCAGAUGAUAGCCAAGAAUCUAUGGUUCAUUUAUUGUGAGAUUGUCCCUCUACUGCAGGUAUGUGGUAUAAACUUAUCCCCUCGAGUUACAUAUCUCAGUUUCUUGGGAUGAAUCUAAUGGACUGGAUGAUUGUUAAUCUGGAAAAUAAUGUUGGUAGUAUAGAGUGGGGAAUACACUUUGCUGUUUUAUAUGGAAAAAUAGGAAGAGAGUUAUAUUUCAACAUGAUAGUGUCCAUCCGGAAGAGAUUUUUAGAAUGACCGAAAGUCUCGUUACUAAUAAUUGUAGUAUGAUGAGAACCAAUAGUCUAAAGUCACCCAAUCAAAGUAUUUAUGUAAAGUGGAAUCCUCCAAAGAAGGGCUGGGUCAAAGAUAAUACUGAUAGAACAUCAAUUGAUAAUGGAAACUACUCCACCAUAGGUGGUGUCUUACAUGAUUGUUAUGGUAUUUGGAUAGCAGGAUCGUAUCGAUUUGUUGGAAGAUGUCUAAUUCUCAUAGCUGAAUUAUGGGCAGUAUAUCAUGCUUUACAAGUAGCUCGACAUAGAGUCUAUUCUAAAGUUAUGCAGAUUUUGAAGAUGUUAUGAUGACUUCGCUCAUUCGGGGUAUUAAAGUAGAAAGCAGACAGUUCUCGAUGGUUAAAAUUCAACAUGUAUUUAGAGAAGCUAAUAUAGUUAGUUGCUUGUAUAGCAAAAACGUGUCAUGAGAAUACUUUAGAAUUAGUCAUUUUUUAGUUACCUUUGAUUAAUGUUAAAAUGUUAUUAGAUGAUAAAAUUGGGAAUUCCUAAAGCCACUAAUGGUCUCCUUCUUGUAUUAAAAAAAGAUUUGGCGAGUUAUCCCUAUCUAUGUUAAUAAGAUAAAAUUUGUUAGUAAUAUAUUGGAUAAAUGAAUAGAUAAUAGUUAAAUUACAAUAGUUUUCCUUACGUUUUGAAUAAUAUUAUAUUUUUGUCACUCAAUUUUUAAAAAUUACAUAAUUUUUAUUAAAAUUAUUAAAUUGUUACAUUUUAAUUAGUUGUUCGUUAACUUAUGUUAAGAAGAUGAUAUGGUAUAUUAAUUUAAAGGGUUAAUAAUAAAUUUAGCCCCUAAACUAUAACUAAAAUAUUAAUAUGAUGUUAUUCAAAUUUUUCUUAAUAAUAAUUCUAAAAAAAUAAAAGCAUAUUAAAAAUAAAUAAAUAAUUUAAAAAUAUAUUAAUUUGAUCAAAAAAGGUUUUUCAAAAAAGAAAGUAAAAUAAAUAAAUAAAAUUAAAAAGUACACAAAGUAAUCCCAUGUUUAUACGAAGAGAAACCCAAGCAAAAAGAUUAUGUUUUUUAAAAAAAUAUUAGACAACAAAUUCGAAAAUAUCUAAUCUUUUUACCACUAAUUAUGUUAGUAACCCCAAGAGCUCUGUACCUUUUGGAUUUCUACUUGGUUUUUUUUUUUUAGUAACUAUUUUUGUUCCAUAUUCCUUUUAUAAUUGAGAGUUGAGGAUGGGAUUGUAUUCAGGAUUGUUGUUUGUUUUCUAAAGAAUUCAAUGUUAAUAUUAUUUAACUCAUUAUAGAUAUGCCUGAUUGUUUGUAUUUUUUAAAAUAUAUAUUUAUUUAUUUUAAAGAUGCUUUUAAAUUGUUUGGAAUUAUUAUUAAGAAAAAACUUUAAAAGUAUCAUAUUGAUAUUUUAGUUAUAAUUUAGGGUUAAUUUUUUUAUUAAUCAUUUAAAUUAGCGUGCCACAUCAUCCUCUUAAUUAAAGUUAACAAAUGAGUGAUCAAAAUGUGACAAUUCGAUAACUAUAAUGAUAAUUAUGUUACUUCUGAAAAUUGGAUGAUUGAAAUGUAAUCUUAAUCAAAGUUAAUGAGUCUUUAUUUGAGCAACUCCCUUUGUAUGUAGUGUGUGCGUAUAUAGUAUGGGUAUGUUCCUACCAUACAUUUAUCAGUAUUUCUAAUGCAAUACCAAAAGUUAUAAAUGAUACCAAAACUCUUAGGUUUGCAAAAUAUGCCUUUAAUGUUUUCAUGUUUUUCAUUUUGCCUUAAAUCUUUUUUUGGGUAAACUACACUAUUAGUUACUAAACUAUGUGUAAGUUUUCGUUUUUAAGUUUUCGUUUUAGUCACAUAACUAAAAAGUUACAAUUUGGUCACUAAACUAUUCGAAAGAUUUCAUUUAAGUCACUAAACUAUUCAAAAAAAAUAUUUUAGUCAUUAGAUUGUUAAGUUUUUUUUUUAAGUUCCGCUAGUAAGCUCCAAGCGACAAUUCGAUGGUCAGUAUGGUGGAUCAAUACCAAUCAACGAGUAAAAGAACAUACCUUAGAUCCAAGUCGAUAUGAUUGUCAGUGUCGAAGAUUGAAGAAAAAAUUGUUUGAAUUUUGGUUCGCAGAUUCGUGACACCCAUAGCUAUUUUAUGAAAAAAAAACUGAACUAUAGAAGAGAAUGUGUAACGUCCCAAAACCUCUUUAAUCGAAAAUAAUAUAAGAUAGAUUUUUUUUAGUGAAAUAAGAUAUAAAGAAAGUAAAGUAUAAAGAAUGUUAGAGAAAAAUGAAAUAAAAAGUAUGUUGUGAAAUGUUAAUUUGAGUCAAUGAUUAAAUCAUAAAAUAUGAAAAGUGUUGUGGCCUAAUGUAAAUAUUUAAACUUAAAAUGACAAAAUAUAAGUACGAAAAAGUUUAGGGGCCAAAAGUGCAAAUUACCAUUUUAAGAAAAUGGGUGAAAUUUUAAUAAAUAUUUUUUAAUAAAUUUGAAAUGGAGACAUUGAUAUAUAAAUAAAUCGAAACAUGGACUAAAUUGAAUAAAGUAGAAAAGUACAGGAACUAAUGUGUACUUUUCCAAAUUACGGGUGAAUGACCUAAAUGCAAAUUAUCAUGUAUUAAAUGAUAUUUGGAGACAUAAUCAUGAGGUUAGAAUACCCAAGUGAUGAGGUGUAAAGAAAAAAAAAGAAAAAAUUAUGGAAAUAAGGCUUGAAAUGUGGUGGAAUUUGAUUGGUUGAUAAUAUAAGGACUAAAAUUGAAAUAAAAGAAAAGUAUAGAGAUUUCUAGAAAGGAAAAGGUGGGACAGCAGCAACUAGACAGCAAAAAUAAAAAGAGAAAGAAAAGAAAGAAAAAAGGGGAGAAUAAAAUAAAGAAAGAGAAUAUCUUCCAUGAAUUUUCUUUGAGUUCUACCUAAAAACCAAAGUCUAAUUUCAUAUCCUAGAGGGUUAUGAGGUUGUCUUCUCGGAAAAGUAGUUUCGGGAUCACAAAUCUGAACCAAAAAUAAAUUUUAUUUUUAUUUUAUUAUAUGGUCCAUAAUAUGAUAGAAAUGUUAUGUGAAAAUUUUGAUAAGAAAAUUUUAUCGAUUAUGUGCUUAAUUACGAGAAGGACCAAAUUGCAUAAAAUGUAAAAAUUGAAUUCUAGUUGCUAUAAGGAUUAAAUAGCUAUGAAAUUCAAAAAUUGAGGUCCUUAUUUGGUAAUUAGACCAUUAAAGAAAGUAUGUAGAUAUUUUGGUGACUCGUCCAUGGAAAUUUAGAAAAAGGGCGAGGACUAAAUUGGAAAGUGAAAUAAUUUAAUUAAUUAAAAGAUGAUAAAAAGAAAUAUCAUCUUAUUUUUCUCAUCUUCUUCCCAAAAAAUACAUGGAAACCCUAGGAGAGAGAGGAAACUUUCAUGGCCAAAUUGGGUAAGUUUCCUUGGCCCAUUUUUAGUAAUUUUGAUAUUUUUGAAAUCAGGAUAACUUAAUCUAUUUAUUUAGGGGAUCAAUUUGAGAAGUUGUCAAAGUAUGGAAAAUGGGUCAUGGAUGUAUAUGCUGAAAAUUUGAAAUUUAUGGUAGAAAAUGAAAGGUUGUUGAUAGAUAAAUAACUUUUACAAAGUGAUUUUUGAUGAAAACAUGAUUUAGGGAUUAAAAUGUAAAAUUGUGAAAUUGAAGAAAAAUGUUGAAUUUUUAUGAAUACCUACUGUCUAUGGAGCAUGCGUAAGGUUCAUCCACUGAAACUUGUACCUAUUAUUCACAUGCCAUCUUUUAACGUCAUUAAGCACAACAAGAUUAGCAUAACUUAAACAAGGCAAAUCACUGAAAUAACUUCUUUAACCCUAUUAUAUGUCAUUUAUAACCAUUAUCUGAAAUAACCAAAACUACUAAUAUCGUGAAUGGAUAGUGUGAUGAUGCUCCGACGAGAUUCCAACCGAUCAAGCUUUCUGAUGAUCUACAAACAAAGAAAACAACUAUAUAAGCAACUAGUGCUUAGUGAGCUUGUAUAAAGGAAACUUAAACUUAUUGAACAUAUUAAAUUAAACAACCAACAUACUUUCAUCAUGUCAUGUGCCAAACUUCCUUUCCUAUACACACCACCUUAUAAGGUUAGUAAGUAUAACAUUACAUAUAAGUUUCAAGUAAAUUAUGGCAUAUACGUAAUAAGCAUUUAGGCUUUAUAUAUCUUCCAUCACAUAUAUAUCCAUUACACAUUCUUCUCAUUUGAAUCCACAUAGUUAGUAGAUAAUGAGUAAUAUAGCAUUUAUGAAACAUAACAUAAAUUAAGAAAUGAAUUUCAUGCAUAUUUCAUCCAUCACAUGAUAAAUUCUCAUCCUUUACAUUUCAUAUGUGCAUACCCAUCUUUCCAUUUCAUAUGAACAUUAGUAAUAUUAAUUUUUUAUACAUGCCUUUUCGUUAACUUUUACUUACUCGUUGAAUCAUAUAUAAUAACAUCAGAUACUAGGGAACACCUUUCCAUAUAACCAUAACAUUUUCAAUAAUGCUCACAUAAGCUGUGAAAUGGGUUUGCUCACACGAGCUGUUGGUCAGGAUGUUAGCUACACAAUGUUAUUCACACGAGCUAUGGAGAAUCCGCAAUAAAUGUAGGACCUCAGCCAUCAAUAGGACAUCCAGGACCAGCACCCGAAACAUAUAAUCCCUAAUGACAUGUCAUUUGUAUCCUAAGUGUUUACAAGGUUCAAACGGGUCUCUUUCCAUAUCAUUAUCCGUGACCUUCAUUUUCACAUUAGCAUUUCAAUGUUUUUCCAUGAAAUUUACAUUUUCCAUACUUAACUUUAAUUCUCUUUUCAAUAUAAUAUCUCACAUAACCAUUCAUGAAAUUUACAUGUUCUUAAAUUAAUCAUUAACUACUUUAAUCAUUAAAUUCAAUUAACCAUGUAAUAUAUAAUAAUCAAUCCAAAAUCCACUUACCUUAAUUAUUCAAUAACAAUUAAUAAUUUUACCAUUAAUGCAUGAUUCAAUAUACGAACUUACUUGAACUCAUAACAACUUCUAACAUGAUUAGACCAUUAUUCUUCUACUUUGACUUUUUCGUGAUUUGUGUUCGUUCGAAUUGUUUCUUGAUCUAGAUAAAUAAGUUUAUUCAAUUAAACUCAUUUCAACAUUUAACAUAACCAAUUUAACUUAUAACCUUUAAUAAUUAAAAUUUACGAAAUUUCCCUCAAAUUUUACAUUUUAUGCAAUUUAGUCCUUAAACCCGAAACUUGCAAUUUUACAAUUUUUAACCAUAAAUCAUGCUAACCAAUUUUUUCCCAACCUUAUAACAGCCCAUAUUUAUAAAAAAUUAACAAUAUUUUCCUUGAAUUAUACCAUUUUUAUAAAUAAGUCCCUAAACCUUAAAAUCAUCAAAAAUUACUUAACAAAAUAUGUACAUUUAACAACCAAACUCAACAAUCUUGUAACACCCCAAACCCAGCCUGGAUGUUAUGGCUGAAUCUGGUGAUGUCACAAGGAAUGGGUUUUGAAAAUGUAGUCAUCAUAAUUAAGCUAUUUUGGCUUAUCAAUCCCUAUUUGCUUAUAUCCAUUGUCAAACGAUAUUUACUUAGUAUAUUUGCUAAAGCUUAUUUUACAACGGAAGUCUAGUGAAAACCGUUACUUUUUGAAAUACAUUUUGUAUUUUUAGAAAAAACCCCUUUGUGUAAAGAUCGUCGAUUUCAUAAAAUAUUUUAUCAACGUGCAGAUUAUAAAGCAAAUAAAUCCAAAAUCAAGUUAAAAACCCAACAGUCUAGAAAGUCCCAAAAAUUACAAACUCUUAGAAUUUUAACCCCAAAAUGGUAAAUAAAACCAUAAGUUAAUGACUAAAAACAAUUUUAUGGAAGAGUGGUCAUCGCAGAGUCCCUGCUGUACUGAUCCGCCUAAGUCUGUGGAUUACCUGAACAGAAACAGAUAAACAAAUGUGAGUUUACAUAAACUCAGUGUGUAACCCUAUAGAAAUAGACAUGCGAUACAAACAGAAUCAUACGCAUAGUCAGAUACAAAUACAGAUUUGGGGUCAGGCCCAUUUCAGAUACAGUAAACAGAAUCAGAUAAUCAAAAUCCUACCCCUAUCCUCUAUACACCAUCUCCGACCAUCCCAAUACACUAUGUGGGGUUAAAAACACCCACCCAUCCCUACACACCAUAUUGCGCCGUUAAGACACGUAUCAGAUAUAGUGCAGCCAAUCUGCCAAAAAAUAGGUGAUGAUGGCCAUACUGAACACUUCGUUUGCAUAUAAAUCCCACCCCAAAACAAAUGCAGAUAACAGAUACAGAAUUACAGAACAAACAUGCUUAACAUACUUAGGUACAGAUAACAGACAUGCUUAUUCAGUACAGUCAGACAUACAUUUAGUAUUCUACUCAGAUCAGUCUAUCAAAAUUUCAUCACACACAAAAUAGAGUUUAUUUAGCCCUUACCGACCCUACAGUAGACCCACAGUCGAUCGAAGCGACCCGUGCGACCCUAGGAAAAAUUGCAAAAAUAUGGGUCCACAUACAUGUGUGGCCCACACGCCCAGAUUGGCCUUGCCUAUGCAGCCCACACAGCCACACUCGAGCCACCAUACGAUCGUGAGUUAUGCACGGCCAUGCCUUCAUCGACCACACGGUCGUUUUCUGCGUUUUGAGUACACACCUAUUACGAUUUUGAUGCAAAAGCACUCCCGAGGCCUUCCAAACCUACGAAAAGGCAUGCAACUGCCCAAUUAGCAAUCAAUUUAUGAAUUAGUACCAAUACCCAAAAUAAAGCUUAAGACUUACCUACGCCGAAAAUUGCCGCUAACAUCAUUCAAGCAAAAAGAGCGUUACUCACUGUUCACAACCUUCUCCUACACUAGAAUAAUCGCAGAAAAAUUAAACUCCACAAUUACACUCAUAGAAACUAACUCAAAAAAUAAAACUAUCUCAAAAACACAACGAAACCCUUACCUACACAACAACACGAAAGACGGCAUGUCAAUGUUACGCGGUUUGAAAGGGAAAUUUCAAUAGGAAUCAGAAAAGGAAGAAGCCGAAAGUUAGAAGUGGAAAACAGAGAAAAACAAAACAUCAGAGAGUAAUUUUGUGGAAAACAGAAAAAAAACUGCUAGCAUAUCCCUAUUUUCUCUCCAUUAACCUACUAACAACAGACUUACUCAGAAUUUCUGUUCAACCAAAACUCUCUCAGUCAAACGAGCAAAAAUAAACUCUCGCUCGCGCAAGGAUUAAAACACAGGACCUUCAACCUCGCAACCUCUUACCAUUCGAACCAGCAGGCUCAUUCUUAUAUGAAUUUACAGGUAAUUUAAUAUAAGGCCACUAAACAAAUAUAGGGCUUAAUUCCAAAAAUAAUAUAAUUUGCUAAAGGUAAGGCUUGAACCCAAGACCUCACACACACACACCCAGAACACUUAACCACUGAAGUAGAUACACACUUGUGUAAGAUAUUUAUAGAAACAGGGAUACACAUAUCACGGCGUUACAACUUUACCCCUCUAAAAGAAAUUUCGACCUCAAAAUUUACCUGAUCAGAAUAGAUGAGGAUACUGCAGACGCAUCGAGUCAUUAGGUUCCAACAUAACUUCUUCAGUACCAUAAUUCCGCCAUAGAACCUUUACUAACGGAAUGGAUUUCCUUCUCAAAAUCUUAACAACACGCUCUAGAAUCUAAACUAGCUUCCCUCAAAAGUCAAGUCCAGUCUAAUCUCGAUCUCUUCAAAAUGAAUAAUGUGAGAUAGAUCAGAUCGAUACCGCCUCAACAUCAAAACGUGGAAUACAUCAUAGAUACAGUCUAACUCUAAAGGUAGCUCCAACUGAUAAGCGACCGGUCCUACACGCUUCAGAAUCUGAUACGGCCCAAUAAACCUAAGGCUCAGCUUGCCCUUACGACCAAAUCUCAGAACCUUCUUUCACAGAGAAACCUUAAUAAACAUAAAGUCCCCUUAAAGUAUUCAAUAUCACGCCUCCUCAAAUCUGUAUAGGACUUUUGUUUAUCAGAAGCUGUUUUCAGAAGAUCCCGAAUUAGUCGAACCUUAUCCUUAGUCUCAAAAACCAACUCAGGACCCAAAACCUGACGCUCACCCAAUUCAGUCCAACAUAGCGGAGUGUGACAUUUACGACCAUAUAAAGCCUCGUAAUGUGCCAUCUAGAUGCUAGCUUGGAAGUUAUUGUAGGCGAACUCAACUAACGGCAAAUAAUCCUCCCAACUACCACGGAAAUCAAUCACACAACUCUGAAACAUAUCCUUCAGUAUCUGAAUCACCCUCUCAGAUUGACCAUCGGUUUGAGGAUGGAACGCAGUACUGAAGUCUAAUCUCGAACUUAGAGUCUUGUGCAAUUUUUUCUAGAAUCGAGAUGUGAAGUGAGGAUUUCUAUCAGAAAUGAUCGAAACAGGCACCACAGAAGUCUCACAAUCUCAUAAAUGUAGAGCUUCACUAACUUCUGCAGAGAAUAUCCCAUCCGAAUCGAAAUAAAGUAAGUAGACUUGGUCAAUCAAUCCAUGAUGACCCAAACAGAGUCCUUCUUAGUGGGUGUCAAGGGCAACCCACUAAUGAAGUCCAUCGUUACACGUUUUCAUUUCCAUAAGAGAAUUUUAACUGGUUGCAACAAACCUGAAGGUAACUGGUGCUUGGCCUUAACCUGCUAGCACGUCAGACAUCUAGCCACAAAAUUCGUAACUUCAUGCUUUAAAUCCGGCCACUGGUAUAACUCACAGAGAUCGUGGUACAUCUUAUUACCACCGGGAUGUAUAGCAUAAGGACUACUAUGCGCCUGUUUCAGAAUUAACUGCCUCAACUCAAUGUCAUUUGGUACACAGAUCCGUCCUUGAAAACACAGAACACGAUCAUUGUCCAGCCCAAAAUCUAAAGUACUGCUACUAUCAAUAUGAUGAAAUCGCACACCUAGAGACUUAUCCCCUAUCUGUUUAAUGCGAAUCUAAUCAAUCCAAGUCAGUUUAACUUGCAACUUGGCCAACAAAAUCUCAUUGUCAAACAAACUAAUGUGAGUGAACAUCACCAUCAGAUUAGUCAACACUCUACGACUUAGACCAUCGGCCACCACAUUGGCUUUACCAGGAUGAUACUCUAUGGUGCAGUCAUAAUCUUUAAGCAGUUCAAUCCAUUGCCGCUGCCUAAGGUUCAACUCAUUCUGAGUAAGGAGAUACUUAAUGCUAUUGUGAUCAGUGUAGAUAAUACACCUCUCACCAUAUAGAUAAUGCCUUUAAAUUUUCAAUGCAAAGACUACUGCAGCUAACUCUAGAUCAUGCAUUGGAUAAUUCCGCUCGUGUGUCUUAAGCUACCGAGAUAUUUAAGCCACCACCUUACCAUCUUGUAUUAGUACACAUCCCAAAUCGACGUGUGAUGUAUCACCGUACAUCACAAACUUCUUACAAAAUUCAGGUUGUAUCAGAACAGGAGCCUGAGUCAGAACAGAGUUGAGCUUCUCAAAACUCGUUUGCUGCGCACCAAUCCAAAAAAAAGGAACUCCCUUGUGUAAAAGCUUAGUCAAAUGAACUAUAAUCAGAGAGAACCCCUCAACAAAACGCAAAUAAUAACCUGUUAGACCCAUAAAACUGCGGAUUUUAGACACAUUUUUAGGCUAUUUUCAAUCAUGUUUCGAAGAUCAACUCGAAUCCCUUCAGCAGAAACCACGUGCCCUAGAAAAGUUACCUUUCGCAACCAGAAGUCGCACUUGCUCAACUUGGCGUAGAGCUAUUUCUCACGGAGGAUCUAAAACACUACUCUAAGUUGCUCAUUAUGUUCAUCAUCAGUCUUAGAGUAAACAUGGAUAUCGUCGAUGAAAACUACGAAAAACUGAUCCAGAUAAGGCUAAAACACUAGGUUCAUUAGAUCCAUGAAUGCGGGUAAAGCAUUCGUCAAACCAAAAGGCAUAACUACGAACUCGUAAUGUCCAUAACGAGUCCUAAAUACAGUCUUAUGAACAUCAGCUUCCUUAACCCUCAACUGAUGAUACCCAAAUUGAAGAUUAAUCUUAGAAAACAUUAAAGCCCCUUGGAACUGAUCAAACAGUUGUCGAUCCUCGAAAGCGGAUACUUAUUCUUCACGAUCAACUUAUUCAGUUGUCGAUAACUACUGCACAUCCUCAUAGUCCCAUCCUUUUUCUUAAAAAAUAAAACCGGUGCCCCUACCGGAGACACACUAGGACAGAUGAAUCCACGGUCCAGAAGUUCUUGAAAUUGAGCCUUAAGCUCUGUAAGCUCUUUUGGUGCCAUACGGUAGGGAGCGAUGGACAUCAGAGCUGUACCCGUAAAAUGCUCAAUCCCAAACUCAACCUCUCGAUUCGGAGGUAAACUCGGUAACUCAUCAAGAAAAAAUUCGAAAAAUCCCUUACAAUUCUGAUAUCCCCAAUAGAAGAGUCCCUAGAAACAGAUACACUAAUGUAAGCCAAAUACCCCUCACACCUUUUUCAGACUAGUUUCUCAACCACAAAAGCGAAGAUCACAUUGGAUAGAUAAUCUCGACGCUUACCAAUUACGACCACAUUCUUAUCAUCUUCGAUUCUCAAAAUGACCCACUUGGUGUCACAAUCCAAGCUAACUCGGUGCUUAACCAACCAAUCCAUGCCCAGAAUUAGGUCGAACUCCCUAAACGGAAGCUCCAUCAGAUCUGUCAAAAAAACAAUCCCUUGCACCUCUAACGGAACAUCCUUAUAGAGCUUACUAACCCGAAUAGAAUGCCCCAACAGACUCAGUACGGUAACUUCAAUAGAAGUGCUCUCAACAGAAACCCCCAAGUUUUUAUAUACAGAGCUAGCUACAUAGGAGUGUGUAGAAUCUAUGUCUAUCAGAGCAGUAUAAGGUACAUAAGAAAUUAAGAACGUACCGGUGAUAACAUCUGGAGCAUCUCUAUCCUCUAGGCUCGAGCAGCAUAAACAAAUACAGGUUGCCUCGCUUCUGUCUAGUUAGCACUUCUGCCCAGUUGUAAUAGCCCAUUUUUAGAGAAAUCGGAACAGUGGUUUCGGGACCACAAAUUUGAUCUCAAAAAAAAACUUAUUUUCAUAUUAUUUUAUGGUCUACAGUAUGAAUAGAUAUGGGUUAGGAGUUUUACAUUUAGUUGUAACAGCCCAUUUUUAGAGUAAUUGGAACAGUGGUUUCGGGACCACAAGUCUGAUCCCGAAAAGAAAAUUUGUUUUAAUAUUAUUAUAUGGUCUACAGUAUGAAUAGAUAUGGAUUAGGGGUGUUACAUUUAGUGGUAUCAGAACUAUGGUUUAGUCGGUUCUUGGACUAAACGUAACAUAUGUGGAGUCUAGAAAUACAUGCCAUUAUAUAACCUGUGAUAGUGUGAUAUCUCCCUACUCUGAUGAAAAUUAUUUUACAAAUAGACAGAGAUGCUUUCCAAACCGAGCUAAUUCUGAUACUACUGAAAGUAAUACUCACGUUCUUGAGUAAAAAUGUUACUUAUGAUGAACCAAAAUUAAAAAGGUAUGGGUAAAUGUUUUAUAGUACAUGAGAAUGAUAAAUGUUAUGAUAUAUGAGUAUAGACAUGAAAGUUAAAUUGUGAGGCUUUACCAUCUUCACCCCCUCACCAAUACAGUUUUAUACAAUAGAAUUCACAAGAUUUAUAAUGAUUUAGUUCAGAUAUGUAGAACUAAAGAGUUCAAUGGCUGAACAAUAAAUAAAGCAAUUAAAACUGAGAAUGGGUUAGUAAAUAAAAAUGGGUUCUGAAGAGAGAUUUUAGAUUUUUUUGAAAACUAUUUGGGAUACGCGAUGUCACUAUUAAAGAAAAAAUUUAUUUAUGAGAAAUCGAUUUAAUAUGGUAUCUACAGAAUGGGUUAAUUGAAAAUUUCUUCCAAAUAAGCUUUGUGAGUGAACUGAAUCAUGUGGGAUUAUUGAUGACUAUAUAUGUUAGUGGAUUAGUGAUGAAAUUGUAAAAAUAUUUGAAUAUAGCUGUUAUAAUCGAGUAUAUUACAGCAAUCUCUUUUGGAUAUUUUAUAUGGGUAUUUUAUAUGUACUGUUAGUCUUAAAGAUAUAUGUAACUGUUCAUGUUCGGACGCUAUAAUCAUUAUAUGAAAAGGUUGGCUAAACAUGGUAAUAGACGGAAAUUAUUGCAAUUCUAAUUGAUUCAUGAGUGAUAUUGCUUUAUUUUUCUUUGGUUUUCCAAGCCAUUAUGGGUGAUAAAAGACUUGAUGAUAAGAUUCGUAUGAUACUAUUUUCUACUUCUGUUGGUUGAAGUUCAGAAUAACAAAUAUGUAAAUUACACUGUCUCUAUUAUGACUGUUUAUAGUGUGAAUGUGCAAUAUUACUCUUCUGGACUUUCUCUGAGAUGUCAUCAAUUUUUUUAUUAUUCAACAUGGAUUAUCUUCUCGGAAAUUCAGUAUAGCUUUGCAAUUUGGAUUUUGUUAUCUCAGUUUUCUUGUUAUUUUAUGGUCUGACUGAAACAAAUAUUCAUUGGUCAGUGGUAAUUAUACUUACUACUGUUAUGAAUUCUGACUUGAUCAUGAGAAUUUGGUGAUAUGGAUCACAAAUUAUAGAAACUGUAUUAUUGCACUAGUUGAUAUUGGAGCCACCCUAGGUUUUCCUCUUCUAUCUAAAAAAUAUUAUUGAAGUUGAGGUAUUGUUCUGUUUAUAUUGUUGAAAUGUCAUAUCUAUUAUAGUAUUAUGGUUUUAACCUAUCUGAUGAUUGUGGCCUCGGAAUAAUUUAAAGCUUCGGUAUCCUUUUUAAUUUUUGUGAAAGUAUUUUCUAUGAUAGCUACAUCAGUGAUAUGGAUAUUAUAGAAAGAUGUAAGAUUUGAAUGGAUUGAUAACUGUUAGUAAAGUUUUGACUAGUUGGAAGCUCUAAUGACCGAAGGAUCAGUUCUGGUUCAGUUUGAAUCGGAUAAGGAAUUUAUUAUUACAGUGAUACAUCAUUGAAUAGAUUAGACUGUAUUUUGAUGAAGAAAGGCAAAACAAUGGUCUAUACUUCCAGCCAGAUAAAGCUAUAGGAAAAGAAUUUCCUGAUAUAUGAUCUUAAAUUGACAAUUAUUGUGUUUGCACUGAGAAUUUGGUAACAGUAUCUGUAUGGUGAAAAUAUCAUAUAUGUACUGAUUAUAAAACUUUAAGACACCCGAGGAUAUAGAAAGAGUUGAAUCUAAAAUAGAGUAGAUGAUUUAAAUUAUUGAAAGACCCUGAUUUGGUAAUUGACUAUAAUUCAAGAAAAGUAAAUAUAUUUGCUGAUAUUUUAAGUAGAAAAUCUUUGUUUGCUUUAUGAGCAAUAAAUACUCAAUUGCUAUUAUCUGAGGAAAGAUUAAUUUUAGCUGAACUUAAAGCUAAUUUGAUGUUUCUACAACAGACCGAUGAAGCUCAGAAAAGUGAUAAUAAGUUAUAAGUUAAACGGGUACAGAGUGAAAUAAUUACUGGUUCAGAAUAUCAGAUUUGAAUGUGAUGAUUGUCUGUUAUUCCGAGAUAUAGCCUGUGUACUGAAAAAAUUAAAGCUUGUACAAAAAUUUUUAUACGAAACUUACAAUGGUAAUAUAUCUGUCAUCCAGGAAGUAAGAUAAAUUGAAAAAGAUGUAUUGGUAAACCAGAAGGAAAUGUGAUGUCUCUGAAAUUAUGUCAGCAGAUUAAAGCUAAAUAUCGGGUACUGAUACUUUUAGAAUUGUUACAGCUAAUGAUGACACUAGAACAGAAAUAAGAUAAAGUUAUUAUGAAUUUUAUAUAGGGAUUACUCCCGUCUCAAAAAAAAGAAAGAUGUUAUUUGGGUAAUCACUAAUUGUUUGACAAAGUUCAUACAUUUAUCUUAGUAUGAAUAGAAUUUGAAUUAAAUUAUCUGUAAACGUUAUGAAAAACUCUAGUAACGAUCUAUAACCUUGUUCCGUUGAUAGAUACAGGUUAGGGGUGUUACACCGGUGCUCUCUAUCCAUGGCCCAAACCAUUACCACCCCUAGUCACUCCAUGGCCAUUAGGUGGCUGCUGAACUGCCCUCUGAGGCUGCACCAAACCCGAAGCUGAAGCUUACAUCUAAUUUUCCCACUGUAGAUAGUCUCUAAUACAGUGCUCUAAUGACCCACACCUCAGACAAGCCCCAAUCCUCCUUUAGCACUCGCCCGGGUGGCAGCACCUACUACAAUCACUGCACGGCUGUAACCCGGUAGGAGCAACGGGAGCCCUUACUCUAAUAGGCUCAUCGGAUCUAGCCUUUUUUUAAAGCUUCUAAGCAGAACUAGAGGGCUCCAAAUCCUUCUUGUUUUUUUCCUUUUUUUUUGUCCCUAUUCUGGCACUCCACGAGCUUAACAUCCUCGACGAUCUUCGCAUUUUCAACUAGAACAGUAAACUCUCACUCCCUCUGCGAAGCAAUCAGUACCCUCAAACUGUCUCUUAACCUAUCCUCAAACCGAACACAUCUCUCAUACUCAAAUGCCACCAUGCCUCGAGCGUAGCGACUCAAUCUCAAAAAUUCGACCUCAUACUUGGCCACAGAUCUAUCACCUUGCGAGAGAUUCAUGAACUCACGCCUACGAGCAUCAACAUAACUCGCCCCCACAUACUUACUCUAGAAGGUAGUCUUAAAGAAGUCCCAAGUUAGACAAUUAGGCUGAGUACCCUCCUGAACUGUUAACCACCACUGGUAUGCCUCGUCGCGAAGCAAGGAGACUGCCCCUUAAAUUUCUACUUAGGAGUAUAGUUUAAGUCAUUCAUAGUCCUCUCAGUGGCCUCCAACCACUACUCGGCCACACUAGGGGCGAAUCUAGUGACACCCCUAAAUAGCUCAGCACCAUUAGGCCGGAGUCGUUCAAUUACCGACCCACAGCUUCGAGCUCCAGAAUGGGGUCCAACGACCCUUUCUAAUAUCUUCGGCAUGGCCUAAGAUAGUGUGCUGUCCCUAACCGAAUGGCUUUGAGACCCAUUCUCAGUAGCAGGUGAAACUAGUGUCUCACUCGUAUCUAAAUUCGGCAUACUGCUUAGAGAGGAAAACUCAGCUCGUGCCCCUUACGGCCUCUACCACGACCACGAAUACCAUGUCCGCGAGUUCCAUGAGCACUGUUAGUGUAAUUCGAAUUUUAUCUACAUUAAAAAGUUUUAUGCAUCAGUUCAAGUUAUUUAUUAACAGAUUUUUUAUGCAUAAUUUAUCAGUAGUUCAGAGAUGUUUUCAGAAGUUUUAGUCUCUACCUAUUUCAGUACAGUUUCAGAAAGUACUAACUACAGUGUUUCAGAACAGUUUAAUUUAAGUACAGAGAUACUUACUUGGAUCGACACCGGAGACUCGAUGUACCGCAUACUUCCUCAAUUAUUCAAAUCAUGUAAAAACCAAUCCUUUUUGGAACACAAUUUUGGAACCCAAAGUUCACAAUCGAGUUUUGUAACCUUGUAACACCCUUUAACCCCAAAUUGCUGCUGGAACAGGGUUACGGAGCAUUACUAAACCUAUCGAAAAAUUUACAAUUAAUUCAAAAUAAAUUACACACAUAUCUUGAUUUAAUUAUAAAGUCCCUAUAAUGGACCCUCGAGGUCCAAAUCACACGUUAGAAUCGAAUCGGGACUUUUUCGGAUACUUUGAAUUUUUUUUGUGCGAACUCAAUAUAACCUCUUUAUAAAUAUCUAACAUUCCCCACAAAUUCAAAUCAAGACCAAUCCAAACAAAUUAAUUCAUGAAUUCAUACAUCUCUAAUUAUAACAAACUAGUAAUAUAAAGUUCGAACAAUUUUAUAUUUAUAACAAUCUAACAUAAGAUGUCUAAUUGAUUCAUUUAAAUUAUCAUUCAACAAAACAACCCAAAGCUAUGAUAUAGACUAUGUUUAAGACAUGUAAUUGUAUGGAACAACCAUUAUCAUCAUUUAUAAUUAAUAUUUAUGUAUCAAAAUAACAACAAAUUACAACCUAGGUACAUGCCAUUUUCAAAAGAGAAAAGCACAUCACCACGUAUUUGAGUUCGGGAUUGACUUGGAUGCUGAGUCGUUAGUCACUUUUGUACCUAACCUGCACACGAAAACAAACCGUGCGCUGAGUAUGCACUCAACGGUAUUUCUAUAAACCAAUACUUAAAUAAUUAUAAAAUACAUAUAUAACACUACUCAAAUUCAAUAACUAUUCAAAUAUUCACCUUUCAAUCCAGUACUCUAUUUUAUUUCAAACUGUUUUUACUUAUCCCACGUUGAGUAUUUGCCUUACAUUUGUUUUAACAAACAGUUUAUGUUAUUUUAGAUGUCUUGGGUGUUUUUCUUAUAAAGGGUCGUGUAGGUUUUUAAUUUAAAUUAAAUUAUUUUUUAAUGUCUUUCAAACCUCUUUCCACUGCUAAUGAUUGCUCACAAGUUCCAUGUUCUCUUGAAACUUUAUAAACCCUUUAUUUUUUUUCCCUUCACUUUUGACUUUGGUGGGAUAGUUGGACUGAAUUGCUUGUUUAACUUUUUAGAACUUUAUUUGACAAAGUAAUUAACCUUUUAUAUGGACUAAAGUUUUGUUUUUUUCCCUUUUAUAUGAUUGAUGUUUGAAUGAUCUUAUGUAUUGUUAUAGUUUUGAUAAUAACAUAUGGAGUUUUUGAGCAAUAUUCAGGUUUGAAUACAAUAGCAAGAUGGAGGAUUUAUAGACUAUGUUUUGUGGGGAAUCUGCUUGUUCAGAUAGAUAUGGAAAGCCGUGUGAUUCGGCUUUGUGGCAUUUCAUUAAUCCCUUUUCCUGUAUUAAUCAGUCCAUGAUAAUUUGUUUCAAUAUCCUCCUAUUAGUAAUGCUCUUAUUCAACAUGAUUCAAAAACCAUCACCGAAAACAGUUGGCAUCCCUGCGCGCUUCCGAAACCGUUUUACUUUGCAAAUAGCUUCUGCUAUUGUUAAUGCUGGUAUUGGAUUGGUGUACUUGUGCUUUGGCAUUUGGAUUUUGGAAGAAAAGUUAAGGAAAACACAAACUGUUUUGCCUUUGAAAUUUGUUUAUUGUUAUUCAAUAAUAAUUAGUUAUUCAGUAUCAAACAAUCAAUAACAAUCAGUUAUUCAGUAUAGUAAUUUAGUCAUUCAGUAACUAUCAAAUAUUCAUUGCAGUAGUUUAGUUAUUCAAUAUCUAUAAAUUAUUCAAUACAGUAAUUUAGUUAUUCAGUAACUAUCAAUUAUUCACUAUAGUAGUUUACUCUUAUUAACAUAACUCGGACCUAGACGGAUACACGGAUCCAACCAACACACCAGUACGACACAUUGUGCCUAAUUGGUUUUGUCAAAGUAAACAGUAGUAGUGCGGUACCUAGUACCUCAUCGGAUUAAAUCGAAGUAACAGUAACAGUACGACACUUAUAGUGCCUCAUCGACUCAAGGUCGAAGUAUCCCUAAACACUUCCAAUCCUAUGGCAUGCCAAUUAUAUCCGACUCAGUUUGUUACAGUUAAUAGGGAAUUCAAUUCUUUUCUCAAUUCACAGUAAUUAUUCAUUUCAAUAUCCAUUUCACAAUAAUCACAAUUUCACAUACAUUCAAUUCAAUAUCAAAACACUAAUACUUACCUUAAUAUCUUUCCAUACACAUAUAAUAAUAAAAAUAAAAAUUUAAAUGUUAAGUUCGAUUUAUAGAAAUACAAUCUUACUCUCUGGGUACAACCGAAAUCAACGUAUUCCACCAAUAGUAGGCAGAAUCACGUAGCAAAGAGAUAGUACACUUUAGGCAUUCAUCGGGUGUGCAAGAUAGUUCAUCAAGUACCCGAAUAGUGUUGUCCAACCAAAAUUCUGCUUGCUCGGCAUCAUCGCUGUCUGUAGCUUUAAAUUCAGUAGCCCCAUGUUUUCGGAUUCUGUCAACUGGGGGCUUAUUUAACCUCAUCUGGUCAGUUACCGGAGGUAUCGCAGGUGCAGGGGUUGUAUUAGUCGGGAGUGGGGGUUGUAGAACAGCCGUAUUAGUUCGAAUAUACUAAUUGAACCAAUCAUUCAUCACGCUAUAAAAAGCCUGUCUAGCUUCAUCAUUCUGAUUACUAGCAAUAAGUUGAGAGUCCACCGGCGCUGUCCCUUGCGCGGGAGUAGGCGCUACACUCUCAACAUCAUCAGCUACCGCUCGGUUGGGAUCGGGAUCCAUUACUAUAAGUAAACACAUUUUUAACUGUCAGAAAUCACCAUACUAUCAAAUAAACACAUAAUGGCAUGUAUAGCUAGACCCGAACGUAUUACGGUAGUCCUAGAAUCGACUAAACCGUAGCUCUGAUACCAAUAAAAUUGUAUAUCGGGGUAAUUAGUUAUACUUAUGACUAGUAGCCGAAUGUGCAUAGAGAUCAUGUUAUAAAGCCAAUCAAAAUCAUGCUCUUUGUAUGUGGCUAUUGAGCCGAAAAUGGUAAGGGUUGAUAAGUAUCUUGUGUUUGAGUUUUAGUAAUGAAAAUGAAAUAUGGAUGUGUCAUGAUUUAUUGAUAUAUGUGCAUGAUUAUUCGGAUGAUAACCGGACUAAGAUCCGAAGGCAUUUGUGCUAGUGAUUAUAUCCGGGCAAAGACCCGAAGGCAUUUGUGCGAGUUACUAUAUCCGGGCUAAGUCCCGAAGGCAUUUGUGCGAGUUACUAUAUCCGGGCUAAGUCCCGAAGGCAUUUGUGCGAGUUGCUAUAUCCGGCUAAAUCCCGAAGGUACUUGGGUUUGGAAAUGAGCGAUCUUGCUGUAAUAACUUCAAUUAAUACGCUCAUAAAUCCAAACGAUAAGGUAUGUUUCGUAUAUGCACUAGAAAGGUCGAUUCCUUUUUAAAUAGUAUUCGCUUAAUUGAUUAACAAGCUUCCGGCCUUUAGUUAGGUUCGAUCCUGAGUGCAUGAAUAUAAUGGUUGAAGCGUGAAGUAACCAUGAUUGUGGGAAUAUGCGUAUAUGCAAUCAUUCAUUUAGCCUUACGAACGCUAUAUUUUAGUUGUAAAUAGUUUCAUUACUUAAAACUUACUAAGCAUCAAAAUGCUUAUUCUGUUGCUUUAAUUCUCUGUUUUAUAGAUUUUGUUCGUCAGCUAUCAGACUCGGGAGUGUCAAAGUCGAAGUCGUCCACACUAUCUAAGCCCUUUUGGUACUCUUUUAGUUGAAUUUUGAUAAUGGCAUGUAUAGGGCUGACCCUUGUUGUUAAUUAAGUAUCUUUUGGUAAUGUAUAUUCGUAUAGCCAUGCGAAAAUGGCUCGUAUAUUUUGAAGUAUAUCAUUACGGUCUUAUGAUAUGGUUAUUAAGUGGUGUGGAAAUGUUUGGUAAAGACUAGCCAUUGGAAUGGCCGAUCACGGUCCUAUUGGGGCUACGUACGUCAUGGCUAAUCGUGAUUAUACUUGAAAAUAAUGUAUGUCAAUUUACUAAUGGAUUCAUGGAAACUUAUGAAAUAGGUAAAAUUUACCUUAAAAUAGAUGCUGACAGCAGCAGUGAUGUAAGUUUGAAAAAUCACUAAAAAUAGUAGGAAUGGAAUUAAAUAGUGAAUAAAUUAUGUAAUCGAAUCUUGAUGAGUCUAUUUUCAUAUGAAAGAAACGAAACGACCAUAUGAGCCGUAUUUAUAAUUCUCGAAUUACUCUUCCUCAACUUUCUCCUUUCCUUUCUUUGUCGAGGUCUCCGGUAUUACGUUAGCUACGAAAAUUAAAAUAAUUAUACCAUUAGCAUUAAUUUAUAAUAAUAAUUGAAUUUCUAUCAAAUUUAGUCCUAACUAGAUUUAUCUACUUUUCUAAUUUAAUUCACACUCUAUUUCUAUUCAAAUUUCAUUCAAACUCAAAUUUAACUACUAAAUUUUCAGCAUAUUUCACUAAUUUCGAAUUUUCCUCAAUUUAGUCCCUACAACAUAAAACUUAUAGUUUGCUUCACAAUUUUAUCCCUUUAUUAAUUCUAACUUGAAAUUCCUUCAAUUAAAUCCCUAAUUCAUCUUUUUGUCCAACAUAAAUUAUACUUGAAAACCUAUAAACUUCUAAACUAUCAAAUUAAUUUUAUCAAAACCUUGUUUUAAGACUUCUAAAACAUCAAAAUUAAGAGAAAAUGACUUAAUUAAGCUUACCAAUCAAACUCCAAGUUUCAAAUUCCCUAUUUCCCCUAUUUCUUCUUUCUUUCUUCUUUCCCUGCUCUAUUUCGAAAGCUUCUCUGUUCUUUUACCCUUUUGUUUCUUUUGUCUUUCUUUUUAUUCUUUUAUUAUUUCAUUUGUUUUAUUUAUUUUAUUAACUUAAUAUAUUAUAAUUUAAUUGUUUAAAUAUCUAUCAUAUAAUUAAUAAUAUAAUUGUACAUGAUCAGUACCAUACAUUUGUCAUGAUUUUAUCUAAUUAUUUCAUAAAAAUCUUAUAAAUAAUUAUUUAAUUAAUAACUAUCUUUUUAAUUUAAUAAAAAUAAUAAAUAUUUAUUUACUUUGAUAUUAAGUAAAUACAUAUAUAAAUUACAAAUGUAUAUAUUUUAUUUAGUACACUUGGAUUCAUUAUCACCUUACACUUGUCACCAUUUAAUUUAUUUGUCAUAUAAAAAAUCUUAUAAUAUUAUAAUAAAUAUCUAUUUAAAUAGUUAUAAAUAAUAAUAAAUAUCUAUUUACUUUAAUAAAAAGUAAUUAAAUAAAUAUGUUACAAUUGUAUAUAUAUAUUAUUAUUACAUUUGUAUAUUUUUAUCACCAUCCAUUUGUCAAAAUCAUAUUUUAUUUCAUAAUAAUAAUAAUAAUAUAAUUCAAUUUAAUAACAAUAAUAUAAUAAGAUAUGCUAAUACAUAAAAUCUUGGAUUUUUAUUACUUAUAUGCCGCCUCAUUCCUCUUUAAUAGCUUAAUUUUCAUUUUGGUCCUUAUUAUUUUCUUUUAAUAAAUUAUUAAACUUUUACCAUUUAUUCAAUUUAGUCCUUUUUCCUAAUUACUCUAAAUUAAACUAAAUUUACUUAAUUAAAAUCUAAUUAAACAUACCACUAAACUCAUAAAUAUUUCUAAUAAUUAUUUACGAACUCAUUUUGUUAAGGCGGGGGCCCGAUAAUGUACUUUUCCGAUGCCCGUGAAUUUUGGGUCAUUACAAACCUGAUUUUGAUACCACUAAAUGUAACACCCCAAACUUAGCCUAGAUGUUAUGGUUGAAUUUGGUGAUGUCAUAAUGAAUGGGUUUUGAAAACGUAGUCAUCACAAUUAAGAUGUUUUGAUUUAUCAAUCUCUAUUUGCUUAUAUUCAUUACCAAACGAUAUUUACUUAGUAUAUUUGCCAAAGCUUAUUUUACAGGGGAAGUCCAGCGAAAACCGUUACUUCUUGAAAUCCAUUUUGUACUUUUAGAAAAAAAAACCCCUUUGCGUAAAGACCGUCUGUAACGACCUAAUUUUUAGUGGUGUCGAAAAUGGUAAUUUGAGAUCACUAAAUCCGACAAAUAAGAUUGAAAAAGAUAGUAAUUUAAUAUUUAUGAGUCAAGUAAGGAUUUAGAAGAAUUUUUGAAAUGGUGAAAUUAGUAAAUUAAAAGAAUCUAUUAGGUCAAACGGGUCAAAAAUGAGGUAUCGAGACCUAAAAAUUGAAAAUUGAGCUAUAAAUAUUUUUAUAAAUAUUUAUGAAGUGUCAUUGAGUUAGUAUUAAAGUUUUGUUAGAAAAUUUUAACGUUUGGAUAGCUAAUUAAUUAAAAAGGACUAAAUUGGAAAUAGCGCAAAAUUUGUUAAAUUGUGAGUAAAUAGUUUAAGUAUUUAAAAAGAUGGAUUUAAAGAGCAAUUAGACCCAAAGGUUAAUGGCUGGACAGUUUGGGUAUGAAAUAAGCAAGAAAACAAUGUGAACAAGGGGCAAAAUUGGAAAUAGCAUAAAAGUUAAUAGUUAAAUAAUGAUGUAAUUGAAAAAUCUAGACAUUUCUUCAUAUUUUCUCAGCCAAAACGCCAUAGAAGGUCUGGAGAAAGUUGGUUUUUCAUAUUUUUACAUCAUGUGAGUUUAAUUCUUGCUUUUUUCUUGAUAAUUUUUAUGUUUUUAUGACUUUUACAAUUAGGUCCACUUAUAGAAUUCAUUAGUUUUUGAUUUUAUGGGUGAAAUUGGAAGUUACCCUGGAUGGAUAAGGGAAGUUUAUGAUGAAUUAUUAUGAAAUUUAAGUUCUAAUUUCAUAUUAAGGUGGUUUUAUUAAGUGAUUUUGAUAGGAAAUGAUAUUUAGGACCUAAUAGUGAAAAAGUUGUGAAUUGAAUGUUGCUGUUGAAAUUCAGAAUAUAAAAGGUUUUGAAAUAGUUUAUAAUGAUAAAAUAAAGUUUUAAUUGAGAAAAAUUAGUUCAAUUGAUGAGUGAAUUGAGCAGGGACUAAAUUGUGAAAAUUGUAAAUUUUGGGGUAAAAGUGUAAUUUUAAAUUUUGAACAGCAUAAAUUGUGAAGUGAAAUAGAAAUCAAAUAAAUGCUAAUGAGUAGAAAUAUUUUAUAUUAUAGAUCAAGAAUCCAAAGAAGAAAGAGGAAAAGAAAAAGUUACGGAAUAGUCCCUAAAUUUCAAUAUCUUUUACAAAUUAGCCGGGUAAGUUCAUAUGGUUGAAUUUAGAUGUUUAUUUGUGAAUGAUUGAAGUAAUGUUUUAUUAUAUAUGAAUUUGUUGUGGGAUUGUGUAAAUUUUGUUAAUGAAAGAAUAAAUGUGGAACUGCAAAUUAGGAAAAACGCAGGAUUGAGUACGCUCGUAUCGUGACAUGUGAUGAAUUGACGGAUAAGACCAUGGUUGUUCCAUGGAAAAGUGUGAAAUGUAGGUAUGGUAUCAUCCAUACUGAGUUGUGAUAUGUAGGUAUGGUAUUAUCAAAUCCAUACUGAGUUAAGAAAUGUAGGUAUGGCAUUGCCCAUACCGAGUUGUAAAAAUGUAGGUAUGGUAUUGCCCAUACCGAGUUGUAAAAAUAUAGGUAUGGUAUUUCAAUGAGGAAAACCAUACUGAGUUAUGAAUCGUGGCACUGAACAACGACGUACUCAAUUUCGUAAGCCGUUUCCUAAUUUGAUUAUAAGAAAUAAAAGAGAAGUGAUCCAAAUGAAAGAGAUUGAGUAGUUGUUAUUGUUGAGCUUAACUAUGUGAAUUAUUAUAAUAAUAGUUGUGAAUCGCAGGAAAAUUUAGUAAAUGUUUUGGUAUUGUUUGGAAAUAUUAUGUUUGGUAAGCAUUACUUUUAAACCUAUGAACUUACUAAGCUUCAAUAAGCUUACUUGUGUGUGUUUGAUAUUUUUAUGUAGAUUGAAUUGAAGUGAAGUUGGUAGAUCGGAUCAACACAACAAAGCACACUAUCCAGAUCAAUUCCGGUAGCUUUUGUUUUAUGUUUGAAGAUUUAUAUGGCAUGUAUAGAGUUUAAAUGAAAUGAAGUAAAGAUGUUAUAAACUAGUUAACAACAUUUUGUACUAAAACAGUUUUUGGUUAGUAGCAGUAGUUUGAGUUUGAAAAUUUACCAUAAAUCAUGAAAAUCUAAUUAGAGGUUGAAUAAAAUAUUAAAUUAAAUCUUGUUGAAUCUAGUUUCACAUAGAAUAAACGGUGUAAGCAAAAGGCUUUCAUAUCAGGAGAUAUUUGAAUUUUUGUGAGACAAGGUCAGAGUGAUUUUGAACCCCCUGUUCUGAUUUGUAAAAAUCAUUAAAAAUUGUAAAAAAUUAAUUAGGAGUCAUACUAUAUAUGUAUCAAUUCCUUAUUGAGUCUAUUUUUAAAAGAAGUAAACGGCUUGGUUAUUUGAAUUCUGUACAUGGAGAAAUUUGGUUCGUAGUGCACAGGGGUCAGAGUAGCCGAACCCUGAAACAGAGGAGAUUUCAACUAAUAAACUGUACUAAUUGGCCCAACCAAAAAUUCUAGAAAAACAUUAGUAAGUAGAUAUAUGAGCCUAGAUUUGGGGAAAAUUUACAGAUUUGGAUUUUGAGUUUUUUAACUCGAGAUAUGAUUUUUUUGCGUCUGUAAUGCAGUUGGACAGCUUGUCUGGAAAGUGUGAUAUAAAUUGUUUGAAUUUGUUUAAGUGCUCAAAUAAGUUUAGUAAUGCCUCGUGCUCGACUCCGGCGACGGUUUCGGGUAAAAGGGGGCAUUACACUGUCGAUUUCAUAAAAUUUUUUAUCAGUAUGCAGAUUAUCGAGCAAAUAAAUCCAAAAUCAAGUUAAAAACCAAAUAGUCCAAAAAGUCCCAAAAAUUACAAACUUUCAAAAUUUUAACCCAAAAAUGGUAAAUAAAACCAUAAAUGGUAAAUAAAACCAUAAGUUAAUGACUAAAAAGAGUUUUAUGGUAGAGUGCUCACCGCUGAGUCCCUAGUGCACCUAUCCGCCUAAAUCUGUGGAUUACCUGAACAGAAAUAGACAAACAAAGGUGAGUUUACGUAAACUCAGUGUGUAACCCAACAGAAAUAGACAUGCGAUACAAACAGAAUCAUAUGCACAGUCAGAUACAGAUACAGAUUUGGGCUUAGGCCCAUUUCAGAUACAGUAAAUAGAAUUAGAUAAUCAGAAUCCUACCCACAUCCUCUAUACAUCAUCUCCGACCAUCCCAACACACCAUGUGGGGUUAAAAACACUCACCUAUCCCUGCACACCAUAUUGUGCCGUUACGACACGUAUCAGAUAUAGUGCAGCCAAGCUGCCAGAAAAUAGGCAAUGAUAGUUGUACAGAACAUUUCCUCCGUAUAUAAAUCCCACCCCAAAACAGAUGCAGAUAACAGAUACAGAAUUACAAAACAAACAUGCUUAACAUACUUAGGUACAGAUAACAGACAUGCUUAUACAGUACAGUCAGACAUACAUUUAGUAUUCUACUCAGAUCAAUCUAUCAAAAUUUCAUCGCACACAGAAUAGGGUUUAUUUAGCCCUUACCAACCCUACAGUAGGCCUAUAGUCGAUCGAAGCGACCCGUGUGACCCUAGGAAAAAUUAUAGAAAUAUAGGCCCAUAUGCCCGUGUGGCUUGCCCACACGCCCAUAUUGGCCUUGACCGUGUAGCCUACACGGCCUGGCCCAAAAAUCCACACGCCCGUGUGCCAUGCCUGUGUGGGCCCACACGCCUAAAUUAGCCUAGCUCGUGUGGCCGUGUGUGUUGCGAACGGCUAUGCCUUCGUCGACCACACGGCCUACCACAGGCGUCAGAUUCGUUUUUCGACUUUUACCGAAAUCUCUUUUUUCUACGUUUCGGGUACACAUCUGUUAAGGUUUUGAUGCAAAAUCACUUCCAAGGCCUUCUAAACCUACGAAAAGGCAUCCAAUUGCCCAAUUAGCAAUCAAUUUACAAAUUGGUCCAAAACCCGAAAUCACGCUCAAGACUUACCUAUGCCGAAAAUCACCGCUAACACCGUUCAAGCAAAAGGGCAUUACUUACUGUUCACAGCCUUCUCCUACACCAGAAUAAUCGCAAAAAAAUCAAACUCCAUGAUUACACCCGCAGAAACUAACUCAUAAAACAAAUCUAUCUCAAAAAUACAACGAAACCCUUACCUACACAAAAACAUAGAGGACGACACGUCAAUGUUACACGGUUUGAAAGGGAAAUUUCAAUAGGAAUAAGAAAAGGAAGAAGCUGAAAGUUGGAAGUGGAAAACAAAGAAAAACAAAACAUCAGAGGGAAUAAUUUUGGGGAAAAUAGAAAAGAAGAAAUAGCUAGCAUAUCCCUAAUUCCUAUCUACUAACCCACUAACAACCCACUUACUCAAAAUUUCUAUUCAACCGAAACUCUCUCAGUGAAACGAGCAAAAAUAAACUUUCUCGCUCUCGCAAAGAUUUGAACACAAGACCUCCAACCUCGCAACCCUUUAUCACUCGAACCAGCAGGCUUAUUCUUAUAUGAAUUUAUAUAUAAUUUAAUAUAAGCCCACUGAAUAAAAAUAGGGCUUAAUUCCAAAAAUAACAUAAUUUGCUAAAAGUAAGGCUUGAACCUAAGACCUCACACAUACACCUAAAACACUUAACCACUGAAGCAGAUACACACUUAUGUUAGAUAUUUAUAGGAACAAGAAUAUACAUAUCAGGGUGUUACAAAUCUACCAUAAAACUUCAAAAAUAUAUUAUAUUCAUCCAUAGAACAAUUUAUAACAUUUAACAGUUUUACAAUUUGACCCUGAAUUAACUAAAUUAAAUUAAUAAGAACUCAAAAACAUAAAAAUUUAUUAAAAUGGGGGCAAAAUUUACUCACCAUGCAUGAAUAAUCAAUCAUGGUCGAAUGCUUUGGUUCCUUAUCCAUGGAAAUUCGGCUGUUCACAUCACUUGGAAAAGAUGACAUUGUUUUCAUCUUUAUUUUAACUUAAUUUAUUAAUUAAUUAUUAAUUAAUUACCAUUUUACCCUUAUAAUAAUAACAUUAAAAUGACAAAACCAUGCCCAUCAUUGUCCACUAUCAACAUACAUGGUAUAAUUACCCACAAAAUCCUUUAAUUUAAAAUUUUAUUGCCAUGUGAAUCUUUUAACAUAUAGAACUUAACUUUUGCAUCUUUUACAGUUUAACCAUUUUCUCUCAAUUAACUAUUUAAACAUUAAAAUUUCUUAACUAAAAUUUAAUAUUAUCCUAAUAACGCCCUGCAAAUAUUUAAAAAAUAUAUUUACAAGCUCAAUUUAUAGAAACGAGGUCCCAAUACCUUAUUUUCUAAACUCACUUGACUUUAGGGACACACCACUUAAACUUAGUUAUUCAUUCAAAUAGUAUAAUUUACCAUAUCAAAAUCAAAAUCAAAUAUAAUACAAUAUUCGACUCGUAAAUAUUAAAUAAUAAUAUUUACGUACUCACUUUUCGGAUUUAUGGUCUCGAAACCAUUAUUUCUGACAUCACUGAGAAAUAGGCUAUUACAAGUUGGAUGACGAAAAUGAACAUUGAGUUAAUGAUAGGUGACCAAAAUGAAAAUGAUUGUUAAUAAUAGUGCGAAAAAUGAAAAUUUUUUAUUUUUGGUCACAAAAAUUUAAACGACAUUAGGAUUUAAGAUAAACUACGAAGUUAAUCAUCCAACUUUGAUAAUUUUUUAUUUUUGGUGCCUAAAAUAAAAACUUAUCAAAGUUGGAUGAUUAACUUCGUAGUUUAUCUUAAAUCCUAAUGUCGUUUAAAUUUUUGUUUAAAUAUGCCAAAGGCCCCUAUACUCUUUCAAAAAUUAAAAUUUAGCCCAUAUACUUUAAUUUUGAAACAUUGAGUUCCUGUACUUUUUUAUUUAAAAAUCUUAGUCCCUCAGUCUAAUUUAGCCAUUAAAGUUAACAAUGUCAAAGGUAAAACAACUUUUUCAACCCUUAACAUUUACAAUUUUUUUUAUCAAUUUGAUCCUUACCAAUUAAAAGUACAUAAACAUUUAAAAAUAUAUUUUUUCCAUAUUUUAAAUAACAAUAUAAAAAUUAUGAAAAAAAUAAAAUCUCUUGAAAAUUAAAAAAUUACUAGCGAUAGUGGCCACUACCGUCAACACUUCAUUAGCCAUUUCAAAACACUUGCCUUAGCAAUCUCCCCUUUUGACAAUUGUUUUGAACAAAACUUGUAACACCUCUCACCUAUCCCGACAUAUGGUAUCAGCGGGAGUUGCUAUCGAAGCACUUUUAGAAUUUAACCAAAAAAUUUCUUUUUAAAUAAAUACUUGUUUCGCAAUCCAUUAACAUUCUUUAAAUCAAAAUGGGAAAGUUUAGAAAAGUUUAAUUACAAUUAUAAAUUAUUUCAGGUCUUUGAAAAUAUAAAUGGACAUUACCAAUUCAUAAAACAAGUUUUUGAAGCUUAUUGACUUAAAACAAAGUCAUUUGAGUUACGAAAAGUAGGAAUUUUACCAUAAUCUAAAACUUUAAAACAUUUUUUAUAAUCACUUAUCUAACUUUAAGACAAUUAAAAAACUUUAGAGAGAAUUUAAAAUCAUUUUAAAGUUAUUUAGGGUAAUCGGAGGUAUUUGAGACCCAAAAUAGACCUAGAAAAUCAAAACAAUACAAAACAAUGCAGUGUUUUGGACGUGGGAUAGUUGUCGUGUCACAAGUCCUCAGUUGUGCUGAUACAAGUCCCUGUUAUUGUUAGAAAAUCAUGUUUAGAACAAUGUUUUUAGGCAAAGAGGAAGUUUAAAAGUUUUCUUGAAACUGAGCAUUGUGAUAUUUAUAACAAUAAACUCUUAAUUGAAAUUAUACUUGUGUUUUGUACAAGGCAGUGUAAGUCGAUCUGAGCUUUCCAUUGAAUGACAUUCUUCGCUAUCAUCGAACUUUAAAUUCCUUUGAUUGUGGGCUCAAACAAAACAAACCAUGUGCACAAAAAGAAAAUUUUUCUUAACUUUUAGUAAGAAAGUUAAUUCUCUGUAUAACCGGAAGCUAUGAGAUUUUUUGAGAAAAUAGGAAAAAUAAAUUACCGUUAUUUUUUGACAGAAUAACUACUCUCAGUAAUGUGUGUGUAAAUAAUUUAGCUCAUAGUUCCUAUUUAUAGAUAAAUUGUAAUACCCUCAUCUGUCUCGAUGAUUUGUACAGACGGAAGACGCUACUAAAAUAUUUUCUAUACAAAAACCAUGACUUUAUUUAAGAAAAUAAGGAAUGAAACUUUUUUUUAUAUAAAAUCUUAGAGAAUAGAUAAAAUCAAUUUUAGAGUAUUGAAAUCUUGAACAGAUCAUUUUGAAAUGAUUUGUUGAUGUUCGGAAGUGCCCGAGACAAAAAAUAUGAGUUAUAAACACUCAAGAUUCAUACCAAAACAUUUCCCAAUAAGUCUCUUGUAAAACAUGCUUCAAGAUUAACUAAUUUCCAGCAAAACUCAAUAUAAAACAUAGUCAAAAUGGAACAGAACUUGUCAAACAUGCAAGAUUCAUACAAAUAUUCUAAGACUUAUAUCGAACCAUCCAAAUCUAAGUUCAAAUAAGGCAAUUAUUGGCAUGUAUACCACCAUAUCAAAAGUCAUAACAUUUUGGUUUAAAGCUAUUUAAAACAUGUUCAAAACAUAGAGAUAGUCCAAUAACCAUUAGAAAUUUAUAGUGAUAUGAAACAAACAUAUAUGCAUUCCCAAGGGUGUGAAUAGUAUUGCUUCUAAGAAGUACUUUUGGAACAAAAAUAUUUUUAAAUAAUUUACCUCAUGAGAGAAAAAGUACUUUUCCUAAACCAAAAAAUGGUCCAAAAGCAAUUUUUUCAAAACCUGAAAAUAUUAGCUUCUCCUCAAAUGUGUUUUUUUCCCCAAAAGCACUUCUAAGAAGCAUUGCUAAUGUAACGACCCAAUAGUUAGGGUGUCAAAAAAUAAAAUUUGGGACUCCGUUUCCGUAAAACGAACCCGUAAAUAUUUUUAUUUAAAUAUUUAUGAGGUAGUUAGUAGUGAAUUUUAUUUUGAUUAAGUGAAUUUUGAGAAAUUAAGAAUUACUAAGGUACAGGGACUAAAUCGCAUAAGGGUUAAAAGUUGAAUUAUAGAUUAAAAUUAAUAGAGGGACUAAAGUAGUAAUUAUCCAAUUACCUAAGGUUAGUGGACAGCAUUAACAUGUAUAAUAUAAAUAGUAUAAUUAAUAAUUAUUAUGAAAUGUAUAUACAUAUAUGUGAUUUUAUAAUAAAAACAUAAUAAAAGAAAUAAUAAAAAGUAAGUGGUAGCAUGCAAAUUAAUAGAAAAUGAAGAAAGAAGAGAAAGAAAGAAAGAAGGAGUGACUGACGGCACCUUAGGGAUUUAUAAGUUUUAAGUUUAUUGGCUAGUUAAUUUAGUCUCUUUUCUUGUAAUUUUUAUAUUUUUGAAAUCCCAAUGUUUAAAGCUAUUAGGCCCAUAUUGAAAUUUUAGCAUUGAUUAAGAUUUUAUAUGUUGUUAUUGUUGAGUAGUUUUAGUAUUAGAGAUUAAAUUGAUAGAUUUUUAAGUUAGAAAUGGAAAAGGACUAAGUCGUAGAACAAAUUAUAAAUUUUGAAAAUAAGGAAUAAAUUGUGAAAAAUUCAAAAUUUAAGGGUAUAAUUAAAAAUAGAGAGUUAAAUUUAACUCAAGGUGAAAUUGGUAUAAAAAAUAUAGGAUUAAAUGUGGAAGUUAAAAAUUAGUCUCGGUUUAUGGGUUAAAUUGGAAUUUAAGAAAAUAUUGUGUAAAAAUUGUGUAGUAUUAAUGUAUUUGAUUAUUUUAAUUUCGUACCUAACGUCAUACCAGAAUCAUCGACUAAAAAGGGGAGAGAUAAAAUUGACGCCGAAUAGCUUGGAAUCCACAGCCUGUGUUCAUAUAAUCCGAACUAAGUUAAAAAUUAUUGCAUUUUGAAUUAUUGCAUAUGGUAAGCAUUGGAAGUAAGAAUUAUGGUGCUUUACAAUUUAAUUGAAUUCAUAGUUGAUUGAAUUGGAUUAAUUUUGUAUAUGUUAUGAAUGUAUUGAGUAUUUGAAAAUUGAAAUAAAUAUAUGUUUAAAUGUGAUAUUGUGCAAAUAUGAGAAUUGGUUAUUGGUUGUAUUUGUAAGUGAUAUGCACCCUUAUUAACUGUUUCGGGCUAAGUCAGAUAUAAAUGACAUGCCAUAAUAUAGGAAGAGUUCAGGGAUUUCUUCGGCUUCGAGUCGAUGAGGCACUAUGUGCCAAUUUGUUUUGGUUUAACCGAUGAGACACUAGGUGUCAAUUUAUAUAGCGCUGGGUGCAAUUAUUACUUUGAAUUUAUUCGAUGAGGCACUGAGUCCCAAACUGGUGUGUUAGUUAAAUCUAUGUAUCUGUCCGAGUCCGAGUUGUGUUAAUAGGGGUAAUUAAAUAAUAAAGUUCUAUAAUUGAUAUUUAAAUGACAUGGUAUAUGAAAUGGAAAUGAGAUAGUUGAUAGAAAAAUGAAAUAUGAAAUAUGUUGUGAUCAAAUGAAAUAUAUGAGUUAUGUACUCAUGAAUUGAAUAUAGAAUGGAUAAUGUCAUUGUAUAAGGAAAUGUGGAUUGAUAUGUGAAAAAGUUAUUUAUAUAGCAAGUGAUGUGAAUUGAGAUAUUUGUUAUAAACAAUCAAGUAUGAAAACAUAUACAGAUUGAGCAUAGUAUAAAAUGAUGUGAUGAUAUGUAUGAAAUUGAAAUGAUGAUAUAUUGUAAUUGUAAGCUUAGACAAUAAUGUGAUUGUAUAAUUCAAUUAGAGCAUUCAUGUAUCAUUAUGUCUUUAAAUGUUCGGAUUAUAGAAAUAUCGCUGAGUUUACUCAGUGUGCUGUUUUGUUUUCUAUAUGCAGCUUAGGUACUUCUUUUUUGAUCGCCGACUCAGCAUCCAACGAUGAUCCCGAUCUCAAGUGUGAUGAUGUUUACUUUUUGUAACGACAUGCACCUAGGAUGUGUUUGGUUGUUAGUGGUUUUGUCAAUGGGAUGUAAAUUGAGUUUUAAGUAUAAUGUUGGUUUGGUAUAUAAACAUAUGUUUGUGUUGAAGCCAUAAGUUUAGCAUAUUGUUUGAACCAAGGCUUGAUAGGUGUAUGUGAACUUAAGCUUGAUGUUUUAGGUAGAUAUUUGUUAGGCUAAAUUGAGUGAUUUGGUAUGCUUGAAAUCUUGAUUUGAAUGUUGCAUUGGUGAUAUAAAUUGUGGUACCAAUGAGGGUACAUUGGUUAGGCACCUAAGAUGAUUGUUUCAGCAUGUUUUGAGUAUGUUUGAUUGUAUUUUGAAUAGGUUAAAUGAUUCGUUUUUGAGUUAUUUAAUGCCCAAACAAGUAGGAAAUCGUAAACUUGUUGUUUAAGGUACAUUUUAGGUCUACAUGGGCGUAUGACUUGGCCGUGUGAGACACACAGCUUGGCGACAUGGUUGUGUGUCGCCUAUUGAGUGCUUAUGGUGCAAGUCAGAUAGCACAUGGCUUGACAGACGGGCUGGGACACAUCCGUGCAUCCCUAUUUCGAUUGUUACAUGGGCGUGUGUCUCAGCCGUGUGAGGCGCACAGCCAUAUGACCCCUGUUUUCAAAAUUUUGUGAAUUUUUCCUAAGGUUUUCAAAUGAUUUCAAAUUGGUCUUGAUUUGUUUCUAAAGUAUUUUUUAGAGCCUCGAGGGCCUAAUUUAGGGAUGAUAUAUGUAUGUAGGAAUGGUUUGAGUUAUGUUUAUGCUAUUGAAUGAAAUUAAAUGUAAAAGUUCUGAUUGUACGAUAAUGCUCAUAAUUGGGUUAGGGUUGUUAUAACUAAACUAAGCCUAAGAGACUGUAGUACAUCGCAUUAGGAGCUGAAUUACAUAUACAGUUGUUUCAUACUCUUGAAUGAUCAUAAUGGUGUAUGAUGGUGAUCUGAUGAAUAAAUAGAGCUCCAAUCCAGAAAACCUACAUGCAAAAACAAUGGCGCGUUAAACAUAAUGCUUAGUCAAAUAAUAUGGAAAAACUCUGUAUACUUACCUUUCAAGCUAUGGUUUAGACUCCGUACAAAAGACUAAUUAAGAAUUUAAAACACAACAAUGCUAAUGACAUUCAUUUCACAGUUUAGAAAACAAGGAUCAAUUUAGUUUCAUACACACACACACACACACACACACACAUAUAUAUAUAACAACACUUGACAAUUUUAAGAAUUCACUCAUACAAUGAUAAAAUUAGUUUCAAAAGAUAAAAUGAGUGACCAAAAUAAAAACUUAUUAGAGUCGGAUGACUAAAAUGAACAUUAGUUAACGAUGGGUGACCAAAUUGAAAAUGAUUGUUAACGAUAGUGCGAAAAAUGCAAAUUUCUUUUUUUUCGGUGCCUAAAAUAAAAACUUAUGAAAGUUGGAUGGUUAACUUCGUAGUUUAUCUUAAAUCCUAAUAUCGUUUAAAUUUUUUGUUUAAAUAUGCCAAAGGUCCCUAUACUCUUUCAAAAAUUAAAAGUUAGCCCAUAUACUUUAAUUUCGAGAUAUUGAGUCUUUAUAUUUUUUAUUUAAAAAUCUUAGUCCCUCCAUCUAAUUUAGCCAUUAAAGUUAACAAUGUUAAAGGUAAAAUAAGUUUUUCAACCUUUAACAUUUACAAUUUUUUUUUAUCAAUUUGAUCCUUACCAAUUAAAAGUACAUAAACAUUUAAAAAAAUAUUGUUUCCCAUAUUUUAAAUAACAAUAAAAAAAUUAUGAAAAAAAUAAAAAUCCUGAAAAAUAAAAAUAGAAAUAAAAAUAAAAAUAAAAAUAAAAAUAAAAUGAUUUGACAAAUAUUAAACAAAAAUUACAAAAUUCAAUGUUAUCUAAAUCGGAUCAGACCAACCAGUUGAACCGAGAAUCGGUUGGGGUAUCAGUUUGGUGACAGGGAAAAAUGGGUUGACCUACAAAUCGAUAUAGAUUGGUUGAACUGUGCUAAAAAAUCGAUUAAAUCGACAGUUAAACUGAUUUCGAACUAGUUUGAUUAAUUGGUUUCCAGAACGACUAGUCUGACCAAUUCAAAGCAAAUAAAUUACUAAAAAUUUAAAAUUUAAAAUAUUAUAGAAUUAUAAAAUCGAUUCAAUUGACAAUUUAAUAAAUAUUUUAGGCUAGUUCAACCUAUACCGGUUCAUGGAUCAAUCAGUUAUUAAAAUUUUGAAGUUUUUUAGCCCUCAACAUUUAAUAUUUUUUUAAUUAUCCAUACCAUUUAAAAGUACACAUUUUUUAAAUUAAAAUUAUUUUUUUCUUAUUUUAAACAAAAUAUUUUUAAAAAAAAACAUAUAUAUUUUUAAAGAAAUGAAAUAGAACUCUCUAAAAUUAAAAAAAUAGAAGUAAAAAAGAAUUUUUUAAAAAUAUAAAAAAGUACAAAAUUCAAUGUUAUCUAAACCAGACUAGAUCGAUUAGAUCAAUAACCAAUUGGGGUAUCAGUUCGAUGAGAGAUAAAAGUUGGUUGACCUGCAAACCAGUAAAGAUUGGUUGAAUCAGGCUAAAAAACUAAUUGAAUUAGCAUUUGACCAAUUUUUAUAAUUUUUAAUUUUUUUAAUAAUUUAUUUGAUUUCAAUUGAUUGAACUAGUUGUUCUGAGAACCAAUUAAUCAGACUAGUUUAAAGUCGGUUCAAUUGUCUGUUCAAUUUGUAACGCCCCAAUUUUCGGGAAUUCUGUGAAUGUUGGCAUAGGUUUAAUGAUGUUAGUGGGCCUCUAGAAGGCCCAAGCUUAAGAUAGAACUCGGCAAUUUUAGUUAAUUUUUGUUCCAUAAGAAAAAGGGGGUGAAAUUAUGAAAUAGAACCUAUGUAAAAAUGUUUGAAAAUGCUAUAGGCUAAAUUGAAGUGGCCAAAUAAAUAGGAGUGCAAAAUAGGAGGAUUUGCAUGACAAACCUCCCAUUUUACAUGAAGUGGCCAGCCAUCAUGUUGUUGUAGACAAAAUGUGCACUUGAUAUCCAUAAUUUAUGGUACAAAUUGAUACAAAUUGAUAAUGGGUUAGGUAAAUGUUCCAUGAUAAUGGGUUAGGUAAAUGUUUCAUGAUAAUGGGUUAGGUAAAUGUCCCAUGAUAAUGGGUUAGGUAAAUGUUCCAUGAUGGGAAUUUCAUGUCUUUUGUAUUAAAGAAUUAAAUGGAUGAAAUAUGAAUUUUAUUAAAAAAAAAGGGUGAAAAGAACAAAGUUUUGUCCAUCUUUGUUCAUCAUAGCCUAAAGUUAGAGAAGAGAAAGGAGAGGAUAAAGCUCUUGAAUGUUCGGUCACUUGGGGAAGAAAAUUGAAGGUAAGUUCAUGGUAGUUUGCUUCUAUCUUGAGUUUCAUGAGUUCUUCUUGAUUCUACCUUAACUCUUGAAGCAUAUUUUGGUUUUUAGUUGUGUUGUGAGCAUUUAGUCAUGAAUUAAAAUGAAGGAAAUUGUUGUUGUUUCAUGUUCUUUUGAUGAAAAAUGGAAGAUAGGUGAAGUUGAGCCAAACAAAUGAGCAUGCAUGUGCCUUAGAUGCUAAAGGGAAAAAUCGGCUAACAUGUUGUGCUUUAAAAUGAUGAAAUGGAGAUUAUACUUAAGUAAAAUCAUAGAUAUGAGAUGAUUGAUUGGUGAUAUACUUGUUUAAAUAACAUGCAUGCAAGGUAUGUGUGAAAGAGUGAUUUGGUAAUAAAUCUGCUUGGGACAGCAGCAGUAACGUGACUUUGGAAAAUCACCAUAAAUUGUGAGAGAUGAAUUAGAAGCUAAAUAAAUUAUGAAAUUAAAGCUUAAUGAGUCUAGUUUCAAAUGAAAUAAACGAGAACAUAUUUUGAAUUCUGUACAAUGAGAAAUUUGAUUCGUAAUGAAGAGUGGUCAGAUUAGUCCGAAAAAUUGAGAAAAAUCUGGUAUUGAUUGGCUAAACCAAAAAUUCUGAAAAGUUUAUGGAUAGAAGAUACACGAGUCUAUUUUCAGGUAAAAUUAAUGGCACUUGAUUUGGAGUUUCGUAGCUCCAGUUAUAAAUGAUUUAGUGACUGUUGCUCAGGAAGACAGCUUACAGUGAAAUUAUGAUUAUGUGGUAAACACUGACAAAAAUUUGUUAAUGAGUUGCUUACUGAUUUCUUAUAAGCUUACUCUAAUCUGUAGGUGUGGUUGGCCGAAUAUUGUAAGGGGUUAAUACGUAGUUCGUAUGUGAAUAGUUAGAUUAAUGUGUUAGUAAUCCAAUUGUAGGCAGUUCGUGUGUGGAUCUCGUCAGCAUAUCGUCGCAAACAGGUGUGUAACUAACACCCUCUUUCUUAGUCUGGAUCGGCAAAAGUUGAAAAGCCGAAAUGCCGAAAACUGGUAUUUUGUAGAUUUGCGAAUGUGCGAAUGCUCGUGAGGUAAAUCGAUUAAAGUUUUUAGUAAGCUGCAAAAUUUGGACUGCAAAGUGCAUGAUUUCUGUGCCCUCGAUAUUUUUGGGCUUAAUGGGCCAAAAAUUGGAAUGAUAGGCCAACGGGCCCAAUUCGGUAAGAACCCUCGUUACGUGAUUCUGUUAGUACGUGAAAAGUAGGAAUAUGCAUGAAAAACCCUAAAAUAGAUAAAUUACUGAAAUGCCUUUAAAAGUGGAAAAUUUACAGUUUUACCCCUAAUAGAUAAAUUACCGAAAUACCCCUAGGGUUAAAUUGACCUAAAUGCAUGUUUGACUGUUGUUAAUUACUGCAUGCCAUGUUGUUAUUAUCUGAUGCAUGAGAUUGGGAUAUUGACGAAGGAAGUACUGAAAGUGGCUUGUCCACGUACUGGAGGCUUUGCCUCAAUUUACUGUUAACUGAGCAGCAAGGCUGCAACUGUGGAGUGUUGGGCUGGGUGGGUUGAGCUAUUCCCCACAUGGAGUGUAGGGCUGGUACGGGUGGAGUGUAGUGGUUGGUGGGUUGAGUAGUCUCCCCAAAUGGGCUUGCAUAUGUUAUUGAUGUUGCAUGUAUUUUGAAAUGGGCCUAUGGGCCAUACUGUUAUCUGAAUAAGGGGCUAAGGCCUAGUUUAUUGUAAUCUGAAAAGGGCUCUGGUCCAGUACCACUGUUACCUGAAUGGGCUUAGGCCCAAUAGGCUUGAGCUGACUUGGGCUUUGAAUGGGUUUUCCUUACACACUGAGUUUCCCCGAACUCACCCCUUUUAUUUUCAUCCACACAGGAAAUCCCCAACCAGAGUGGACUUGGAGCUGUGAGAGAAUUCAGAGUGGCCACCCGUUCUGAAAGUUUGGUUUUCUUCUGGUGAACUGGACAUCCUAUUAUUUACGUUUGAAGUUUUGGGUUUUUAAAUGUAAUAAGGCCGCUUAAUUAUUUUUGAUGGUUUUAAUAUGUAUUACUAAGAUAGGUAUUACUUAUUUUAACUGUUGAAAUUGGAUAGCUUUAGGGCGCGUUUUCAAAAAUAACAAUUGAUUUCAAAAUAACACGACAGCAAGCAAAGCUUCCGCAAUGAAAGUAUUUUCCAAAAUUAAUCACUUUUCCUAAAAAUGACAUAAUCAAAUCGGUUUCCUAGAAAUAUCCAUGACAUUAAGGUGUGGCAAUGGCAGUAUGCAUGUCUAGGAUUGGAUCCGAAGGGAGCUUGGUACUUAAGCAGUCCGAUGGACUCACCACCUCUUUUCCGAUUUCCUACCUGGUGCACAGCUUCCAUUCACUUUAACCUAUAAUGAAAUUAUCUUUUAAAACACUAAGUAGGUUUUUCUGGAUCAACAAUAUAAAAUGUUUUGAACGCUUCAAUGUGGCAUGUCGGAUCCGGCCAUAACGUCUGGGCCGGGUUUGGGGUGCUACACAAUUAAUUUUUAAUUUGGUUUAACAAGUCCGUACUAAUUCGCGGGUCAACCUAUUUUUUACCUCUAAUAGGAGUGAUAUCCCAUCUGGUUCUAAGUCCGAUUGGCUAGCCCGGUCUAGUUUAGAUGAACUUUGAAUUUUUUAAAUAUUUUUAAUAUCAUUUUUAUUUUUUUAAAAUUUUUAAAAGUUUUUUUUUCUUUUCAAAAAUUAUAUUUUUUAAUUUCUUUUUUUUUUAUUUAAAAAUAAAAAAAUAAUAUUUAAAAAAUUUAACUAAUUUUAAAGGGUAAGGACCAUAUUGACAAAAAAAUAUAAAUGUUAAGGCUUAAAAAAAUUAUUUUAUCUUUGACAGAGUUAAUUUUAAUUAAAAAAAUUAAAGAAAGAGACCAAGACUUUUAAAUAAAAAAAUACAAUGAUUUAAAUAUCUCAAAAUUAAAAUAUAAAGAAUAUAUUUUAAAAUUUAAAUAGUAGGGAGACGUUUGGCAUAUUUAAAGAAGCAAAUCCAUCCUCAGCUUUUAAGAUUGAAUGUGACGUUUCAAUUUUUUUUUUUUUAUUGUGAAGAUAAUGGUUUUUUUGUCAACUGCCUUAACCGCUUUAUAAUAUACAGUUUUGUAGUCACUUCAUAUGAGCCAUUGUUGCUCAUUUGGGCAGUGCUCCAUUCAUUGGUUUAUUUUGUAAUCUCUUUAUAGGUCUUAUUUGGGCAGUGGGCAAUUGAUUGGCUAAUUAUGCUUAGAAGUCAUGCACUGUUUAUUUUGUAACAACAGACGAUAUGUCUGUUUUCUUAUAUGUUAUAUGCAAUUCAGAUAUUUUAACCAAAAAAAAAAAAAAAAACAGGAUUGUUCCAUUCACCACUAACCAAGUUACCAAAACAAAAAACCCUUCCCAAACCCUAGAUCAGUUAUCCUACACCCUUUUCCCUUUUACACAAACAACAACUAAGUUUUGGAAACCAAAAGCCACUGCAUAAAUACACACACCACUACCAUAACAACCCAAAUCAUUCUCCCCCUCUAUCUUUCUAACUUUCCUUAGCAUUCCAACCAACACCACCCUUGAAUGUGGUGUAACAGGAGGAUCGAACUAGGUAAAAAACCGACAACUACUCCUUUUAUAGUUACCAUAAUAUUGACAUUUGAAAAAUCUCUUAUUUAGGUUUUCGUUUGAUUAAGAUAUUCUUAACGGAGUUCGAGAAUCACAACUACAUAUAGGUAUAUUAACAUUAGGUGCUUCCAUCUCUUCUUCUUCUUUUCUCUGUCGUUUGCUUGAAACAAUGAGAGGUUUAUUUUUUUAUUCCUUUUUACCUUAAUAUGUUGUAUAUAAAAGAUUUAAGAUAUUUUUAUAUUAUAAAUUCAUUUAAAAAUGGGGAAAUAGGCUCAAAACAUGGCGAUGACAUGGCAAAAACGUCUGCCAUACUGCCAGCUCUGACUUCCAUCCAUCACUUAACGGGUACUAACGGCCCAGUGAUGAAAUCGUUACAAUUGAAACAUACCAAAACGUAAACUUAAGCAUAAUAAAUACAUGACUAUUUUUGUAGUUUAAAUUAAAACUUUGUUUAGUUGGGCGGUUGGGCUUGGCCACCGAUUUUUGCUUAUCAGUACUCGAGUAAUAUAUCAGGCUUUCUAUUCGGACCUAACCCUGUAAGAACUAAAGAUCGGAGAUCCAGACCCGAUCCGACCUUCCCCUAAAACCCCCCAAAAUCUCUUCUUUAUUUCUUUCUUGCUGCUACUGUUUCCCUGGACUUGCAGUUUUCAAGCUUCAGCUUUUUUUUUUCUUUUUGUUGAUUAUUGAUAUUAUAUAUUUUAAUUAAUUAGGGUUUUCUCCCUCGUUUUUCACUCUAUUAACUGAAUAAGUUUCUGCGUUCCGGUUCUUUGUUCGGUAAGGACAAAGACUGGAAAGAUGGGUGCACAGAAAAAGGGUGCUACUGCUAGGGUUUCAGAAGACCCAGAGGAAUUAGCACGUCAUCCAUUACAAGCCAUUCUCUUAGCUGAUAGCUUCACCACCAAGUUCCGUCCAAUUACUCUCGAACGCCCCAAGGUAUCCGUGCAGACAUUUUUUUUUCAAAUUUUGUUAUAUGUUUUGGUUUAAUUAUAAAAAUUGCCUCUUUGAUUGAAGGUAUUGUUGCCUUUAGUAAAUAUUCCGAUGAUAAAUUAUACAUUAGCAUGGCUUGAAUCGGCGGGCGUGGAGGAGGUUUUCGUGUUCUGCUGUGCUCAUUCGAAACAAGUGAUUGAUUACUUGGAGAGUUCCGAAUGGUCAUCUCAACCAAAUUUUUCGGUUACUACAAUAGAAUCUCACAAUUCCAUCAGUGCUGGUGAUGCUUUGCGUUUGAUUUACGAGCGCAAUGUGGUAAUGGUUUUAUAUAUAUAUAUAUCUUUCCACUAAUUAAAAGUGUGUACUAAGAAAUAUGUUAAUAGGAUAAUGCAUUUACUUGAAAUAUAUACAGUCUUAGACGGAGGAACAAGCCUCUAGUUGAAUGUUCUUUCUUUUGAUCAAUACAAUAUUGGUGGAGGGGGAGGGGAUGACAGGGUUUGAACUCAUGUCGUCUAGGUGUCAGAUGGGGGAAAUACUGGUUCAAGCAAGUUUUGGCUCCUCUAGUUGAAUGUUGAGGUUGAAUAUUAGUGGGCUGGUUAGUUGGUUUCUUUAGUUUGUAAAUACAGGAAAUGAGUUGCUUUUUCUUUGUUAUUGAAUUAUUGUGCAUUUGGGUACGAACUCCAAUUUUUGUAAAAUCUACUCUCCCAAAGUUGCUGAAAUUAAAAUAAUCAUCCCACCAAUUUGUUCAAAGGUGUUUCUCACAAAUUAAUUAUUGAAGUAAAUGUUGUAGAAAGCAAAUUGGUAGUCUGCCAAGACCCACUUGAAUAUUCUGUGAAAACCCAUGGGAAUAGAUCAAACUCCAAAGGCUUAUGUUAAAACUAGGAAUUGGACUAUAGUUACUACUUUGAUGUGACUUAAAGAUCCAAUGAGGUAGUACCAGCUUGCCUCAUCUGUCAUGUCUUGGUCCUGGGCAUUUGUCUUCUAGGCUUAAUCGAUGGGUGAGUUUUGGAGGAGCUUUGAACUGUUGAUCUUUGAGCAUCAUGGAUCACCUCUAUUAAAGUUCAAGCUGGUUUCUGCAAUUAAUUGUUCCUGCAGGAAGUCUUAUUUAUCUUUUAAAUGUGCUUAUUUUCAAAAUAAAGGAAAUGAGGACAACAUCACUAGAAUUCCUUUUUAUUGAACUUUGUUUUCAAUAUGCUUAAAUCUUUUGUAGAGUUCUUGGUUGGGAUGCUUUAUUCUUUUUGUAGAUUUUUGGCAAUUGUAAUCUUAUGUUUGGAAUUUAUUUACGACCAUCAUGGUUUGGAGCUUGUUUCACUCAGUAUGCACGGUUUUUCUCCUUAUCUUUUCAGAUACAUGGAGAUUUUGUUCUUAUUAGUGGAGAUACAGUGAGCAACAUGUCGCUUACACAGGCACUUCAAGAACAUAAAGACAGAAGGAAAAAAGAUGCUAAUGCUAUAAUGACCAUGGUUGUUAAACAGUCAAAGCCUUCACCGAUCACCCAGCAGUCUCGACUUGGUACCGAUGAACUCUUCAUGGCUAUAAAUCCUGUUACGAAACAGCUUCUGUAUUACGAGGAUAAAGCAGAAUAUUCAAAGGGGUUUAUAUCUCUUGAUAAAACAUUGAUAGCUGACAAUCCUUCUGUCAUUCUGCACAAUGACAAACAGGUUUUGUUCUUCAAAUCAUAUUGUGAAAUUAUCUGGUUACUUUUUAUAUUACCUAUUUUGCCAUCAUUAUAUAUAUUCACACAGACACUUAAAAAGGAAUAUAUUAAUAUGUUAUGAUAAAUUUGCUUCUUUUGUGGACGUGGUGUAAAACUUUACAAAUUUUAGUUGUGUUUCUCGGUAUUGAACAGAGUUGUUUGUAAAUAAUUAUAAAAUAGAUGUAAUGAGUGUAUACUUUUUCUUGCUUGGCAAGUGAUUGAUGCCUUAAAACUCUUGCUUGUUUCAUUUGAUGGGUAGCAGUCAAAAUCUCUGUUUUAGUGCUAUUAUAAACUUGUUUGCUCUUCUCCAAACUCAAAUGGCUCUUUACAACAUCACUUUGUUCUUCAUUUUUUUUUUACUCUCAAAAUAUUUUUGCUUUUUAUUUAUUGUACGCUGUCUUUAUCCUUUUUCUCAGUGUAUUCACACUGAAAUCAUUGAUUGUCCAUAAUCAGAAAGAACCUUAAACCUUGAUCUCAACUCUUGGUCCAUUAGAAGUUUCAAAGUUCCUUUUUCAAGCUACAUGGCAUGAAACCUUUUGCUACUGGUUCAGCGAUCUGUCUGUUAGUGGCUUGAUUAGCACAUAUUGCCUGGAUAAAUAUUAAACAUAUAUGAUUUAUGCUACUUGUUUUUAGUCGAAUGAUAUUUUACUAAAUAAUUUGGGUUUGCUUUUGCAGGACUGUUAUAUUGACAUAUGCUCUCAACAAGUACUAAGUCUUUUCACAGACAAUUUUGAUUAUCAACAUCUAAGACGUCAUUUUGUAAAGGGACUGCUGGUUGAUGAUGUAUGUGUUACAUAUCAUACACUUAUAUCAUGUUGUUUUAAAAUAUUUUCUUAUCACUUUUUCACCCUUAAUAAAACAAAAUUGUGUGCUUGCACAUUCAAAGUCAAAGUUUAGAUAAGAAAGAAAAAAACUGGGUGGUUUGUCAUUGUACACUCAAAUGUGCAUUGUCGUGGCAGUCUUAGCUGACCCUUCUGUCCGAAUGAUGUAGAAUUGUCUGCUAAUCUACGGGAAGCUUUAGUCUAGAUCUAUGCUUUGGAAUUUGCAAGCCAGCCUUUUUUGUUUAGUAACAUGCAUCAUAAUUUGUAAAACAUUAUACUUUCCGUUAAUUGUAAUCUAAAAAAAAUUAAUUCAAGAAGCUUUGAUUAUUUUAAUGUUUAUGGGAUAGGUAAACAUGGUGUUGCAUGCGUAAUCAUCAAAACAAUGACUUAUCUAUUCUUUACAAAAUGUAGACAUUUGUAUUCAUUACCCUUAAAAAAUAUAAACAUCGUAAAAAAUUUAUAGGAUAAUAGUUAGAACAUAGAAAUUUUGAAAGGAAGUUUGGUUAUCCUUAGUAAAUAUACUCAUCAUAUAUGUGUAUCUUAGCAUAAUACUGUGCAUAACAUCCAAAUAUAAGAUAGGACGAUGUAGUUGAUGAUGCCGUUUAUGUUAUCUAAUCUUGACAUCUGAUGAUAAACAUAAGAAUAGAAUUGGAGAAAUAUUACAAUUGCAUAUUGUUACCGGGCUGAAUAUCAUAAGAUUUUGUAUCAUAUUGCUUCCACUUUUAUCUAUGGCUGCAGAUCAUGGGUUACAAGAUAUUUACUCAUGAAAUUCACUCAAGUUAUGCUGCUAGGAUAGAUAACUUUCGAAGUUAUGAUACCAUUAGCAAGGACAUAAUUCAGAGGUGGACUUAUCCAUUUGUUCCAGAUGUGCUCUGUGGAAGUUCUGCAAUAAAGGUUGAGAGGCAGGGAACUUAUCGAGCAUCUGGUAUAGAUUGAAACAAAUUAAUGAUUAUUACGUAUUUGACUGCCAUAAAAGUUUCAUGCUUUAAACAUGUAACAUCUCAUCAUUUAUGCUUGUACCUUUUUAAUUUGUUUAGUUCGGGACUUUCCUUGGAAGUGGUUUAAUCAAUUUUUAUUUUCAGAUGUCACACUGUCACGUUCUGCACAAUUUGGUUCAUUCACUUUCAUUGGACAAGGCACCAAAAUAGGGACUGACACAAAAAUCUCUCAUUCUGUUAUUGGAGAAAGGUGCACUAUUGGAUCAAAUGUCACAAUAGAAGGCUCUUAUAUAUGGAAUAAUGUUACCAUUGAAGAUGGCUGUCGGUUAAGGAAUGCAAUAGUAUGUGACGGUGUAAUACUGAAGUCAGGAGCAGUUCUGCAACCUGGAGUUAUUCUAUCUUUCAAGGUAUGCAUCCCUUGGAGCACUUUAUCCCUUUUUUAAUUGUCAAAUGUCAUCAUUAUUAUUACGGUGAUUAGUUUGAAUACAUGUCUACAUGCAGUUAUAUGAAUUUGCAUCAUGCCUCAAGACAUAUACUUGUUCAAAUAUCUAUAAAUGUGAUAGACUAAGAUUUUAUGAUAUAUUAUGGUGACACCAUUAUGGGCUGUCUCCCAACUAAAGUAACUCAAAGUUGUAAGUUUUCUUGGCGGUUUCUGAUUUCUUUCUGGACGUGCAGCUUACAAUUUCUUGUUGCCAUUGAUAAACAAGUCAACCAGAUUUUCUCUUUUGGGAUUUGAAAUGUUUUACCUAAAAAGCUGUAUCUCAAACGUUUGUAAUUGCUAUAUGAACAAUAAUCAUUUCAGUUAUUUUUUUCUUUCUUGUACUUGUGCUUCAUCCUUAUGAUACAACUUCCUGUCUUGUUACAACCAUCAUUCCCACAUCCCCACCCUACCUGGAGUUCUAGCUAUCCCCUUAUAGUGUGUUCAAUUAUAAGUCUGUCUGCAACCUUCCCCAUGGUCAUCCUCAAUCUUCUUUUCAGGUCUUUAUCUUAACUGGAGCUGGAAAUUCGAAACAGCAUACUCAAUUUUGAACCUUGUAUUUUUCUUAUAUAUUCCUUAAUUACAAUAUUUUCUCUGGUUAAUAAUACUUCUUGUAUGGCUCAAAGUUAUGUUCUUUGCAAGAGAUCUGAACAUUUAUUUUCUCCAGGUUGUAGUUGGACAACAGUUUGUUGUUCCUGCCUACUCAAAGGUUUCUUUACUUCAACAGCCAACCCAGCAAGAUAGUGAUGAGGAAUUGGAAUAUGCUGACAGUACUAGUGGCACUGGGGAGCUUCGAUGUAAGUUCCUAGAGCUAUAUGAAUUUUUAAUAUCUGUUUUUUUUUUUAAUGUUUCAGGUAUUUAGCGAAUCUUGUAAUAUUGCAUUCUUCAUUUUCUUUAAACAUAGUAUAUGAAGGUUGCACCUAUUUGUCUUCUUUAUAUCUUUGAUGUCUAGGUUAAUAUAUUACAUCUCUAGAUUCUAUGGUAGGAUGUAAUGAAGGCUGUACUUUAUGCUGUUGAAAGAAGAAGCUUUUGGGAAAUCAUGCUAGUUUAUGGAUUUAGGCAAACGAGUCAGAACUAAUUUCUUCUUUGAUCUAUUCUUUUCUGAGUGCAUUUUUGUUAAAAAAAUUCUGUCCAUGUGCUUUUGUUGUCUCUCUUUGUUGUGUAUCCUGCAUAUCCUUUUCAUCAGUGUAUAGAAAUAUUAGUUAACUUAUUUCUUGGAAAUAAAAUUUUGCAAUUACUUGAUAUCUGUUACGCAACCAGAGCCUUAUGUACUUAACAAAAAAGGAUGAUAAAAGGUGAAAGUUUUUCAAAUUUAUUUUAGACCAACUUUUUCAUUAUUUAUCCUCUUUAAAAUUCUUCCUCUAGUAUAUAUCGCUUUUAUGGAUGUUCUCUUGAAGGAGAGAAAAAAAGAAAAGAAAAGAGAAGCAGUCGAUACACAUAUAACCAAGAGAAGGAUACAUGUCAUGCCAAAGAAAUUCUAUGUUGAGUAUUCAUAGUUAGAAUAUUGUAUGUGUUGUGUGCAUGCUGUAAAUGUGAUGCUUUAUGGACGGCAGACUAUGGAAUAUGCUGAUGAGGUUUGGUUGAAUUGGAAAAAAUAAUGAUAGAACAAAAGUCAUUUUGGUUAACUUGUGAAUGUCUUCAUUCUGUCAGAUUGCCUUCCCCCCCCCCCCGGGUUUUCUCUCUCCCGGGAGAAAGAAAUGUUUUUCCAUACCUUUGAGUAGAGUUGAAUCUAAUUUUUUCUUUCAUUUCCUUCAUUUGAUUUUUAGAUGCUAUAUGCUGUCUUUUUUGUUUUUUUUUCUUUGUUUAUGCAUUACAAUAUUUCUUGGUUAGCACUUCCUUUCUUUCUCUCCUCCUCUUCUCUUUGCUUUGAAGCUUAUAGAAGCAAAAUUUAGCUUUUAUGGAAGAGUAUAUUUCAGCACUUAUAUAAUUGUUUAUAUGUUAUUUUCUUUUUGGAGUAUAUGGUUUAAUGAUUGGUAAUUUGUGCCCGCAAUCUUUGUUCUGUUAUUUUUGCGAUAAGCCACCAUUUUUAUCUCUAGAAAAGGGAGAUCAUUGUUAUAUGUGCUUACAAAAGUUAACAAAGCAAUUUUUGGUGCAGCGGAUAAAUUGAAUGGGGACAUUGCACCUGAUUUAUCUGAGACAGCAUCUGAGGUUGGUUCUAUUGCUUGCUUCUAACAUUAUUUUUUGUUAUUGCUGCCAGUUUUGCUUGCAAGGUGGUGCAGAGUGAAUAUGGAGAAAAUAAGGACUCGUAAGCAAUUGAACAUAAUUAUAAAAUAGGAAAAAAGUAUUAUGAUAUAUCUUUGUUGAUAUAAUUUGUAAAAACACUCAGAGGAAAAAUUCUGUUAUAUUGCUACUGCUUUAGUUGCAGCUUUAUAAAGAGAAAAAUAAUCAUUUUAAAGGAAAUAAAUCCUAAUCCCUAAGAAUCAGUAAUUGAUAUCCUAAUUUCCUAAGAAUCAGUAACUGAGAUUAGUUUCUAUUUACAAGAGAUCACAACAGAUUUCUAUCCUUAAUUAUAGGGAUUCCAAUACCAUCAGAUUUCUAUCCUUAAUUAUAGGGAUUCCAACACUCCCCCUCAAGUUGGAGUGUAGAUGUUAAUCAAACCCAGCUUGCCACUAAGUUCUUCAAACAUGUUUCUGUUUAAACUUUUGGUUAACAUGUCUGCAACUUGUUGUCUAGUAGGUAGGUAGAUGAUGCAUACUUCUCCUGAGUGUACUUUUUCUUUUAUAAAGUGACGAUCUAUUUCCACAUGUUUGGUCCGAUCAUGAUGCACAGGAUUAUGUGCUAUGCUGACAGCAGCCUGGUUGUCACAGUACAUCUUCAUAGGUCUGGUAAAAGGCACUUUUAGUUCUCCCAUAAGUCUUUGUAUCCAAACUCCUUCGCAUAUACCAUGAGAUAGUGCUCGAUACUCUGCCUCUGCACUGCUGCGUGCUACCACAGAUUGUUUUUUGCUCCUCCACGUCACGAGAUUACCCCAAACAUAACUACAAUAGCCGCUUGUAGAGCGUCUAUCAUUAACAGAACCUGUCCAGUCUGCAUCAGUGUAGACUUCCACGCUUCGGUUGAUAGUCUUCUUGAAGUACAGGCCUUUACCAGGAGUUCCUUUUAGGUAUCUUAGUAUUCUAUAUGCAACUUCCAGGUGCUUCUCCCUCGGGGCAUGCAUAUACUGGCUAAUAACACUCACACUGAAGGCUAUGUCUGGACGGGUGUGAGAUAGGUAGAUGAGCCUUCCUACUAGACGUUGAUAUCUCCCCCUGUCGAUUUCUUCUCCAUCCUCAUUAGUUCCCAAUUUGAGGUUAAACUCCAUAGGAGUUUCGGCUGGUUUGCUGCCCAUCAAACCAACUUCCGACAGUAGAUCAAGAAUAUAUUUCCUUUGGGAAAUGAAGAUACCUUUUUUCGACCUUGCUACCUCCAUACCAAGAAAAUAUUUAAGACUCCCCAAGUCUUUAAGUUCAAACUCUGUACCAAGAAAUUCUUUCAAUCUCAAAAUUUCACUCGAGUCAUUUCCUGUUAUUAUUAUAUCGUCAACAUAAACGAUAAGGAUGCAGCAUUUAUCCUCUUCCGAGUGCUUGUAGAACAUGGUGUGGUCUGCCUGUCCUUGAAUGUAAUUUCUGCUAGUCAUAGCUUUUGCAAAUCGGCUGAACCACGCUCGUGGAGAUUGUUUCAGCCCAUGCAAGGACUUCUUCAACUUACACACUUGGUCCUUGUUUUCUUCAAACCCUGGUGGGAAAUCCAUAUACACCUCCUCAUUUAAUUCCCCGUUGAGAAAAGCAUUUUUUACAUCCAAUUGAGUCAAGUGCCAAUCAAGGUUGGCAGCAAGAGAUAGCAGGACCCGAACGGUGUUUAGCUUGGCAACCGGUGCAAACGUCUCGUUGUAGUCGAGACCAUAAGUUUGGGUGAAUCCCUUAGCCACAAGUCGAGCUUUGUAUCGGUCAAUACGGCCAUCGGGUUUAAAUUUCGUAGUGAAAAUCCAUUUGCACCCUACGGUUUUUUUCCCUUUAGGCAGAUCCGAGACUUCCCAUGUUUCAUUGUUUUUGAGGGCAUUCAUUUCUUCCAUCACGGCUUGUCUCCACUCAGCUGAUUCAAGAGCCUCUUCUAUAUUUUUUGGAAUUUUUACAGAAUCAACAUUAGUCAUAAAAGCUCCUUGUACCCUUUCGAACUGCAAUUGGAAGAUAGAUGGAUGGUGACGGAGGUGGGACUUCUGCUUCAGAACAGUCCUCGGUUGGAGAUGUAAUUGGCACUGCUGUAUCAGUUUCAGGAGAACGAUUCCGUCGGGAGUAAACUUGUAUUUGCUGUUUUCCUUGACCAAGUGGCUGUUGUACUUCGGUGGAGGUAUUGUCAUUGGGAAGGACGGUGUUAAAUUCUUGCUGUAUAGGGGAAACAACUAAAUCUGGGAUAGUAGUAGUAGGAUCAGGCGGUAUAAUGAGGAGAGUAUUAAGGGUCUCAUCUUCAUUAAAAAUCUCCCCCUGAAGAUGAGAUGCUGCAAAGUAUGGUUCAUUUUCAAAGAAGGUAACAUCUCGAGAGACAAACAUUCGGCGCAAUGUUGGUGAGUAACACUUAUAGCCUUUUUGUGUAGGGGAAUAUCCAAUGAAGAUACAGGUGUGGGCUCGAGGAUCAAGUUUGGAUUGAUUUGGUUGAUGGUUAUGGACAAAAGCUUUACAGCCGAAUAUUUUGGCUGGAAGAUUAGGGACAUGAAAUAGAGGGAAGGCCUUUAAAAGAGUAUUUAGAGGUGUUUGGAAAUUGAGGAUCUUUGAUGGCAUUCGGUUUAUGAGAUAGCAGGCAGUAAGGACAGCUUCUCCCCACAAGUAUUUUAGAACAUUCAUAGUGAACAUUAUGGCUCGAGCCACAUCAAGAAGAUGACGAUUUUUCCUCUCAGAGAUCCCGUUUUGUUGAGGAGUGUCAGGACAAGAGCUUUGGUGUAUAAUGCCUUGGUCAGAAAGGAAUGGACUUAAGACAGAGUUGAAGUAUUCUCUCCCAUUGUCAGUACAGAGGGUAUGUAUGGUAGAGUUGAAUUGGGUUCGAACCAUUGAGUGAAAAUUUUGGAAUACUUUGGGUGUUUCAGAUUUUUCUUUGAGUAGAUAGACCCAACAGACCCUAGUAUGAUCAUCAAUGAAUGUUAUAAACCAUCUAGCCCCUGUAAUAUUUUUCACUCGGCUGGCUCCCCAUAGGUCACUAUGGAUUAACGAAAAAGGUUGGGACUGAAUAUGUGGUUUUAAUGGGUAUGGCACACGGGUAUGUUUAGAUAAUUGGCAAAUUUCACACUUCAAGGAAUUAAUACUUUUAUUUCGAAAUAACAGCGGAAGAUGUUUUUUCAAAUACACAAAGUUUGGAUGUCCUAACCUACGGUGCCAUAAUAUAAUAGUGUCCUCUUUUGCAGUGGAUAGAGCCAAUCCCCCUUGUGUACUGUUUUUAUUCCAAAUAUAUAGUCCAUCAUCAACUUUAGCAGUGCCAAUCAUCCUCCCCGAUUUCUGUUCCUGUAUCACACAACCAAUUGCAGAAAAUUCAGCAAGAACUUUUUCAUUCUUAGUAAGUUUACUAAUUGAAAGUAAAUUACAGGACAAGUUUGGAACAUGUAGGACUUUAUCGAGAGAAAUUCUCUGUCAUUUGUACUUCUCCUAUUCCAGCCACAGGUGAGUAAGAACCGUCAGCUAUGCGGAUUCGGGAUUUGUUAUAACAAGGAGUGUAGGUGUGAAACAACGUGGAGUCACCUGUCAUGUGAUCAGAGGCGCCCGAAUCGAGUAUCCAAGGAGAUUGAUUAUUAGAUUCAAAAGCAAUGUUGAGGGCAAUACCUUGAGUUGCUAGAGAUCCAUGAGUAGUGGGAGUACCAAGUAUCUUAUGGAGAGUCUCAAGCUGUGUUUUGGUUAAGCGAACAUCAAGAACAUCAUCAGCAGUAGUGGAGGAUAACAUGGCAGUCUUAUUAUCCUUCUGUUUUUUUUCAGGAUAGCCAUGGAGUUUGAAGCAUUUUUCUUUUGUAUGACCAACACGAUUGCAGUGACUACACCAUGGUCUUGUUGAUCCAGAAUCAUUUCCAGCACGUUGUUUUUGUGGCUGUGGACCUUUGGAGAUGAGAGCAGAGGUUUCAGUAGGACGAUUAGAAAUUGGAGUCAUAGGUUUAGGUUCCUUUGAAUCUCCCAUCAUGACAAGAAGACGCUUUUCUUCUCUUCUAACUUCUGCAAAUGCUUCACCGAUCGUUGGAAGAGGUGAUCUACCCAGAAUUCGGCCACGGACCUCAUCUAACUCACGGUUCAGUCCUUCUAAAAACUCAUAAAGACGUUCAUUGUUGAGAUGGACCAUAAACCUGUUGUGUUCUAAGCCUUCACCCUAAUCUGCCUCAUAAUACAUAUCCAGUUCUUGCCACAAAAUUUUCAAAUUGUUAUAGUAGUGAGUUACCUCGAGUGUUCCUUGUCGGAUGUCCUUUAACUUAAGCUUGAUUUCAAAUACUUGGGAGGCGUUUCCAAGAUCUGAGUAGUUUUCUUUGACUGCAUUCCACAUGUCUUUUGCAGUUUUGAAAAAAAGAUAGGUGCGGCUUAUAUGGCCUUCCAUCGAAUUGAUUAGCCAAGCCAUUACAAUUGAAUUGUUGAGUUCCCAAGUGGCAUAAGUAGGAUCAGCCAUGGUUGGUCGUGGGAUUUCUCCAUUGAUGUACCCUAAUUUGCCACGACCACGAAUCACCAUAAGAACCGAUUGAGACCAUUGCAAGAAGUUCUUCCCAUUUAGCCGAUGAUUGGUGAUUAUAAGGGAGGAAUUAAUUUCACCUUGAGUGAUUCCCUGAUUGAUAUUCUGAGUUAUUUGUGAUGUCUCAGUUUCAGAGAAAUUCUCAUUGAUAUCACCCAUUGGAGGACUAAACCACAGAAAUUUUUAGUAAGGGAAUUUAGAGAAAAAAAUAGGAUCGAAUGAAUCCUAUAGCUCUGAUACCAUGUAAAAACACUCAGAGGAAAAAUUCUGUUAUAUUGCUACUGCUUUAGUUUACGCUUUAUGAAGAGAAAAAUAAUCAUUUUAAAGGAAAUAAAUCCUAAUCCCUAAGAAUCAGUAAUUGAUAUCCUAAUUUCCUAAGAAUCAGUAACUGAGAUUAGUUUCUAUUUACAAGAGAUCACAACAGAUUUCUAUCCUUAAUUAUAGGGAUUCCAAUACCAUCAGAUUUCUAUCCUUAAUUAUAGGGAUUCCAACAUAAUUAAAUAGCAUGAGGUUGAGUAUGAAAUGUAUCUUCAGACUCUCUCCCUCAUACUUCUCUGGCAAUUAAAUAAUAAUUUGGAUGAUGCAAUUGUUUAUGCUUUCAGCUUGGUACUGGUGGAGUUGGUUAUAUUUGGACAGUCUUUGAAGGAGCGUAUGAUGAAGAAUGGAGGCAUUCAGUUGCACCUAUUCCCACAGAUAAACUGGUUAAGCUAAUGCUAGAUAAAGAUGAGGAUGAGGAACUGUUAACUCAAGAUGGGAAUGUUAUUUCAGCUUCAAGAGAGCUGAAAACUGAUUCUGAUGGUAAUGGUUCUGAAGAUGACGAUAAUGAAGACUCUAGAGAUGACUAUGUAUCCUUUGAGAAAGAGGUAAUCUGUGACUAUAUUCAUGGUGAUAAUAUGUAGUAUAGAGAACUAUUUAUAGUUUCCAUUCCAAUGGGCAGGUUGAAGCUACCUUUUUAAGGGCUGUUCAUGAAAAUGUCAAAGUAGACCUUGCAGUCUUAGAGGUGAAUGCACUUCGGUAAGUUACAUUCAUUUUAUUCUCCAAGGCCUGAGCAAACCGGGGCCAUUAACCUAGUUGGUGGGCUCCUUGACUGACAUUUUUCUUAACCUUUUUUUUUUUUCCCUAAUUGUAAAAAUAUACGCUGCUCUUUUACAUUAUUUGAAAGUAUAGAACCUAAAAUCUUCAGCAAUGGAUACAGUUCAUCACAUGACUUUUGCUGUUUUAACUGUUGCUCUUUUUCCAAUUGCUAAUAAUUGUUUACCACAUCCUUCUAAUUUAUGCUUCAUCAGUUUAUUCAAAUCCAGCCUUGUUUGCUUUAUCCCCUUUAGUUUGAUGCCUAUUCAGCACCUGAAUGGUGCUCAAGAGCAUUAGCAAAAUUACCCCCUAUCUCUAGCGGACCAUCCUUGAUGCUUUCUCGCUAAGGAGAUCUUCAAUCAGCACUUAUUUUUUUGCUUCAAAGAUAUGUUCAAACAGAGCUGCUAUUGUAUUUCUCAAUAUGGGCUAAUAUUUUGCCUAAACCUGUUUCCUGCCAUUAUUUCUUCAGGUUGUCUUACAACAUGGCAUCUGUUGACUGUGGUGGAGCAAUAUUUUACUCAAUGAUGAAGUUGGCAGUCGAAUCUCCACAUAAUUCUGCGAGUAUGUGUGCUGCUUUUUAUUAUGUUCCCUUUUCAUGAUUAUUCUGGUAGUUAUAUAUUCACACUGCACUGAUAUGAAGAAACCUUUUUGUUGUUUUACCAUACAUCUCUAAAUGAUUGAAUUUAAUAAAUAUUCACAGAUGCAUAGCUUUCACAUAAGUGGGCAGUGAGUUUUUGCAUCAAGUAAAUUCUGAUAAACUCUUCAAUCUAUUGAAGCCCCAAACUUAUAGUAUUUUCCAAAUUAUUAGAGCACCAUUAGCUAAUUCCAUCUUGCUAUUCUAUGUUGAAUCUCAGUGAUUGGUAUUCUUAAUCUUUGAAUUAUGUAGUUCAAAGGUUACACAUUGACUCUAAGGUUCAUACAUAAUUGUCUUAUGUCAUUCAUGAUUUGUUCAAAACAAAGAUGGCACUUUAAUCUUCUCAGAAGUUGUGUCCAAUCUUUAUUGACCUUAAGUGCUGUGCUGUUUAUUGAGGAUUUUUAUUGGUCUGCUAGAGUGGCAACACUUGCAGACUGGAGUGUAAGUCUUUCAGGAAUAAACGUAAGAAAAUUAUUCUGAAAAUGUUGAAGUUGUCUCCCAUAUGUUAGUGCAAUUGUUAGCCAAUAAGUGCUGAUUCAAGCAGCAAUGGACAGGAUUGGAUGUUAGAUGAUUCUCCUAAUUCUUAUUUAUUUUACUUAUGUGGUCUUUCCUCUGUUACUGUUGAAUAAUGAAUGGUCCAAACAUUUAAGCAUGUAUCUGCAUAAACAUUUGUGCUUCCGAAUUGAUAACGUUACAAGCAUACCUCUUUGCUGCUAUUAAUCCUCUUAUGCUCAUUCCCACUGAAAAUGGAAAAGUGAAAAUACAUAUAGAUAACUUCAUCUUUUAUUGUCAAAAAUCAGUCUCCAUGAUUAACUUGUUUGUAAUCACUAACUAGUUUGUUUUCAAUCUGUUGUGAAGGUGAAUUGCAUAGAAAUGCUGCUGAUAUAGUCACAACAUGGCAAAAACUGUUGAAGUCUUUCCUGCAUGAUAUAGAUGAGGAGGUUUGUAUUGUUGAUCUGGUGGAAAAUUCCAUCUGAUUAAUAAAUAUCAAUUGUAAGCCAAAGGAAUAAUACAUUUUUUGGACUGCUACAUUUAAUUUCUUCUAUGUAUCACAUCAUCAGAUGGGUGGGGUGACUUGUCUGUUUUUAUUACAUGUCAAAACUGACAUCUCAUAGUGGACUUUUUUUGUCUAUAUUACAAAUUUGCGCUAACCUUUCUCUUGUUAUUGCCUAACAGAUUGAGGUUAUCUUGAAAUUUGAGGAAAUGUGCCUGGAAUCGGCCAAGGAGUUUGCUGCAUUAUUUCCACAGGUAUUUCUAAUGAUAUGCCUAGAUCUAGAAGAUGUCUUGAUGGGUUCAAGAUAAAAACUUGGUGGGGGCAAUUGUCCGUUGUUUGUGUAUAAAGUAGAAUGAGAUGUGAAGUUUUAGUGAAAAGAAAGAUCCUCAUUUGAUUGUUGUUUCACAGAUUUUGCAUCUUUUAUAUGAUAAAGAAAUUCUACAAGAAGAUGCUAUUCUAAGGUGGGCGGAUGAGAAGGAAGGAGCAGAUGAAUCGGAUAAAGUGUUUCUGAAGCGUUCAGAAAAAUUUAUACAGGUAAAAAAGGAACUUUAAUCUUUUCUAUUUCCCACUCGGUGAAAUGAAGAUUGUUAAUAUUUACUCAUCUUUCCCCUUUUAAAGUGGUUGAGAGAGGCUGAAGAAGAAGAGGAUGAGUGAGACUACUUGUGUUUUGGCACGUAUGAACAUCACUGCUGAGGAAAAUAUGGUCUGCCUUUGUUUGCAAUUUUUGCUUUUCAUGUGGCUAAUAAAGUCUUGACAUUAGAAAUGUUGUAUUGAAUUGAAACGUUUUGACAGUAGUCCAUAUAUUCAGAUUUACUUAUUGCUUUCUUUUUUCCUUUUAGAGUAAAUAGAAUUUCAGUAGACAACAAGGAUUAAUCUUAAUUUAUUUUUAAUUUUUUUAAGUAAUAUUGUCAAAAAUGAAUUUAUAUUAUCUCAAAAAUAUUUUUAUAAUAUAUUUACGUUUCAUAAACAUGUCAAAACAUUAUAUUGUGAUACCGUAAGUAUGUUAUAAAAUUUUUUAAAUUUCAUAUCAAUAAUGUGUAAAUUUUUAAAACAAUAUUUCAAGGAAAAGGUUUUUUUUUUUAUUAUUAUUAUAGAUUGUUGAAAAAUUAUAUUUUUUGCAUUAUGUUACUAAUCGGAUUCCGUUUUUUAAUUUUAAAAUUAAAUAUUUAGAAAUUUUAAAUAAAUAGAAGUACGCAAUACUCCUAUCUUGUUUUACAGUUGUCAUUUUUAACCUCUUAAGUUAAUUUAAUUGAAAAUUUUAAAAUACAAUUAUUAUGUUUGAAGUUUAACAUAUUUUCAAAAAUAUCAUAAUUAAUUUUAAACAUGUUAUAUAAACAGUUUUAAUAAACUUUAAAAUAAAUUUUUUAAACAUUUUUCCGGAAAUAAAUACAUAUACAUAUAUUUAUAUUUAUAAAAGUAUUAUCAAAUUUGAAUUGUAGUUUUUUUAUUCUUUAGGUCGAGGUAUAUAUAUAUAUACUAAACAUGUUUUAUAAUCUUAAAAUUAUAAACAGUUCGAAGUAAUUUUAUAUAAUGUUUAAAUAGGUUUUAAACAAAUUUAAUUUUUGCAAGAUCUUUAAAUUAGUAGUUCUUAAUUUUGAUAGUAGCCGUAUAAGUUUUUUUAAACAUAUUUUAAAUUAACUAUUUUAUCUUUUUGGUAUGAUUUAAAUAAACUAUUUUAUUUCUUAUUGAAAACAAAACUAAUUUUAAUUAUUUUAUUUAAGAACUUAAAUAUGUGUUUUUUUAUCAUAUUAUAAUUAGUUUAAAAAAUGUCUAAAACAAUAUUUAUAAAUUAUUUUAAAUAUGAUAUUUUUAUCAUAUAAAAUUUAACAUUUUAAAAACUUGUUUUGUAAUUCUAAUCUUAAGCGAAUUUUGAAAUCAAUUUUAAAUUUUAAUCUUAACUGUUAUAAAAUUUUAAAUAAAUUUGAAUAAAAUAUUUUAUUCCUAAUUUAAAUAAGAGUUGUAAUGUUUAAUGUAUUAAAUUAUGAGUUUUAAUUUUUUUAGUUAAAAACAUAUAUAAUUUAAAAUGUAUUAGUUUAAGGGAUAUUUAUCUCUCUACUUCACUAAAAUUGUCAAUAUGAUAUCUGUUCUUUCAAUUUAUUCCUUUUGCUACCUGUACCAUUUUUCUGUUUAUCACUUUGCUACUCCACAAUCUCUGACAAAAUUUGGCUCCUGCACCAACCAUGGUCCGGAAAAGAAAAUUCAAGUCAAAGCUAAGGACUUAAAAACAAUUAUACCAAUUACUAUUCUAAAGUGAAAAAAAACACAAAUAUUUGUUGGUCUCUUCUUUCUAAAACAAAGCCCUAGCCGCCUCCUUCCACUGUCGGCACCAUUACUCACCGGCGUCUUCUCCGAUCAAGAAGCGUUCAUGAGCCCAACACCGAAUUUCGAUCUUCUUCAAGUCUAGCUCUUCGAUUUCCCCUUGCAAAGACCAUAUAGUUCUCCAAAUUUCAUAAAAUUUUCUUCUAAUUUUGUUCUUUCUUGCAUAUUUGAAUGUUACCAUCAUAAAGUUCUUUCUGGCUUUAGUUUACAAGGUUUGAGAUAAGUUUUUUUGUUUUCAUGUUUAGGGUUGUUUCUUUACAUAUAAAAUAACAUUUUUAUUAUUUUGCAGUGUUUAUUUGGUAGAAAAUGAAUUAGCAAAGGAAAUUAUUCUCAAAACAAUCCAUUUUCUAAAAUUUUCAGAUUUUAUAAUUUAGUCCUUACAACUAAAAUUGUCAAAAUUUCCAAAAAUUCUAUUUUUCAAAAUUGUUAAUUCUCAAAUAAUGUAAAUUAAUCCUAAAAAUCAAGUUUUGAAAUCUUUACAAUUUAACCCCUAUAGUUUCAAGCUUUACUAUUCUAUGCUCAACUUUCUAAAUUUUCAUAUUUCAUAAUCAUAUAAUUUAGUUACUACAUCAAUGUUUCAGAUUUCACUACUCAAAUCCUUAGAAUUUGAAAUUUCACAAAUUUUAUAAUUUGGUCAUUACUUCAACUUUUAUCAAAUUAAAUCAUUUUUCAACUUAUCCAAAUAAUAUUCAAAAUAAAUAUUUACCACUUUCAACUUAAUUAGGCAUAAACAUAAAUCUAUAGAUAUAAAUUUAUAUUCCCUAAUGUACUAAAUUAACAAUUAAACUUAAUUAAAUAAAUUAAGAUUAAUUAAAACUAAAAUAUGAUUAAUUAAAAUAUAAAUAAGGUUUAUGAAAUAAAUUCAACUAAACAAUGAAAAGAUAAUAAAAUCUCGGCUUAAGGGCGCAAAAUGCCCUCAAACUUUAAAAAAAAUAAAUUAAGGCCCUGUUUUUUUUGCGAUUAUUUGGGUACUUGGACUUUCAAAAUGCAUAAAAAGGCCCUCAAACCUUUUCAAAAAAGAAGAAGCAAAUAAGCCCCUAUUUUUAUUUUGCACUCAAUUGGGUACUUGAACUUUCAAAAUGAUCAAAAAGACCGUCAAACUUAAAAAAAGAAGAAGAAGAAGCAAUUAAGCCCCUGUUUUUAUUAAAAAAUAAAAAAAUUAUAAAAAAUAAAAUCAAUAAAAUCUAUAAAUAUUAUUAAAUUUUAAUAAAAAUUUUCAAAUAUUAAAAAUUAUAAUUUUUUUUAUUUUUUUACGAUUUUUAUAAAAAAAAUUAAUUUUUAAUAAAAGUUAAAAUUUUUAAAAUUUUUAUUAAAAUUUAUUAUUUAUUAUAAUAUUUUUUCUAAUUUUUAAUAAGAGCAAGGACUUAAUUGGCUUUUUGAAAACUUUUGAGGGUCUUUUUGAUGCAUUUUGAAAGUUUAAGUGCUCAAUUAAGUGAAAAAAAAAGAAAAAAGGAGGGAUUGUAACAACCCGUUUUUUAAUAGUGUCAGAAACAGUGAUGUAACACCCUAUACCCGUAACCCACGCCGGAGCGGAAUACGAGGCAUUACCUAACUCGAUCUCAUGCACACAAACGUUCCCCAAGUCACCAAGACUGGGUCCAAUUUAAAACUUUUUCAAUUUCUAAUUUAAACUUCUUAGUACGGGCCUACGAGCCGCAAAUCGACCAUUGAAAACUAUUCGGGAUCAACUCGGGUCCUUAAACCAUCUAUAGAAAAUUUGACUUUGAAACAGGGCACACGCCCGUGUAGAAGGGCAACACGCCCGUAUGGCCAUUUCAACAUGGUCGUAUUGAUGGCCCGUGUGGCUCACAUGGCCUAUGCAAUAUAGGAACACGGUCGUGUCCUCCACCCAUGUGGAAUUAAUUCUAAUUGCACACCUAUAGGGGUUUUCACACGGCCUGGCACACGCCUGUGUCCCUGGCUCGUGUCCUUCACACGACCAUGACAUGCCCGUGUCUUAGCCCAUGUGCAAAAACAUGGAUAUUCUGUUUCUGACGUCAACAUCCCCAAAAUGUCACAUGGCCAAGGCAUACGCUCGUGUCCUAGGCCGUGUCCCUCACACGGCUGAGAUACACGGCCGUGUGUUUACUAUCAUGCAUACUAACUUGAAAUUUUUUACGUGCAGGGGACACAUUGCCGGACCACAUGCCUAUAGGGCAGACUGUGCGUCACAUACGGCCUAGACAUACACCCGUGUGUCUACCCGUGUGGACAAUAUAAGGCUAUUUACCAAGCCUAUUUGCCACCCUUACUUACUCAACCUACAUAAUAGCAACCACAAUCAAGAUAAGACUAUCUCAUGCAGCCAAAUCAGCUACAAUAGACAACAUUCCAUUUGUGCAUUUUAUUCAUCUAUGAAAAUAACAUCUUUGCAUAUAAAUCAAAAUUAAUAUUUUCCAUCAUUCAAGGCUUAAUACAAAAUAAAGGUUUCCAAUCCAAGCCAACACACUUGGCUAGUUCUCAAUGACACAAAAAUAGUAAAGUCUAAGCCCUAUACAUGCCAUAUUCAAAAAUAUAAAUCAAACUAUAUCGAAUGCUUCGAUUGAUAGUGUGAUUGAUAUCUCUGACUUCCUUUGGUCCUUGAGCUAGAUAGGCGACACUAUAAGAAAAUAAAAAAGGAUAGGGAGUAAGCAUAAAGCUUAAUAAGUUGCACAUAAAUGAUUACACAACAUAACUUUACCAUUCAUCAACAAACUCAUAACAUACAAUUGGGUAUAAGCAAAACUUGCUCAUCAAUAUUCGCUACACAUCAUAUAUCAUAAAAUGGGCUCAUAUUCUAUAUAUACCAAACAGGUACCUAUACCAUUCACAACACAGUUAUACUUUCCUCGUUAACUUGAAAUCAUAAUUUUCACCGUUGAACCAUUUGGAACACUAUCAGAUAUUCAUUAAGCCUCAAACAUGGGGCAAGGUGCCGAUGCCAUGUCCCAGACAUGGUCUUACAUAAGUUCUAGCAUAUCUGUGCCGAUGCCAUGUCCCAGACAUGGUCUUACACUGACACACCUUGUAACCGAUGCAUGUCUCAGACAUGUUUUACAUUGGCUUACGUCUCGAGGCCGAUGCAUGUCUCAGACAUGUUUUACAUUGGCUUACGUCUCGAGGCCGAUGCAUGUCCCAAACAUGUCUUACACUAGCACUCGUCUCAAUGCCGAUGCCAUGUCCCAAACAUGGUUUUACACUGGCUCUCAUAAUGCGGCCGAUGCAUGUCCCAGACAUGUCUUACACUAGCUCACAAUAACCCAUAUGUUAUGGCAUGAAUAUCCAAUUUAUUUCCUAGGUUCCAACGGGAACUCUACUAUCUCUAUUACCAUAAUAUUUUCUCAAUUCCACAAUCAAGCAAUUCAUGCUAUAUUAAAUUCAAGUACAAUUCAACACAUACAUAAAUAUUGUAGUUGUAUUAUUUACAUACAAUUUACCUCGGAUUACAAAAUGUGGCGACUAGUCAAUUUAAUCGAUUUGCUUGGCUUUCUCCCGAUCUAGGUUCGGAUUCAGUAUUACUUGAUCUAUAAUAGUAAAAUGUACUUAUUUAGUCACUAAUUAAAAUUAAGCAAUCAAAAAUCCAUAUCUUUGGUAAAAUAACCAUUUUGCCCCUAGACCCGAAAAUAUAUUUUUAUCGAAUUUCUUCAUAUCUUAAGCCUAGCCGAACCCUUUUUACUCUUAUAGCAACUUCAAAUUCCCACUAUUUCACAUACUUAACAUCUAUUUUACAACUUAUGCAAUAUAGUCCUUUUAGGUGUUUUCAUGCUAACAUCUUUCACAAAAGUUGUUCAUAACACACCCAAGACUUAUUUUCUUCCAUAAAAACUCAGCAAACAUUACAAGCCCUUUCAUGGCAAAACCCUACACUCUUGAUCAUUUUUCAAAAUAGUACCCUCAUUUAAAAGCUCAUGCUUCAAGGGUCUCAAAAGUACAAAAAUAUUCAAGAAAAGCCAUAAAAAUUACUUACUUGUGAAAACUUAAAGUUGUUGAAACUUCAAGCUCUUAAAACCCCGUUUCUUUGCUGAAAAUUUUGAUCAAAAGAAAGGAUGGAGAAAAAAAUGAUAGCUAGGCUUUUUGGCAUUAUUAUAUCAUAUAUUAUGUCAUCAAAUUACCUAAUGUUGACUUUUCAACAUUUUUAUCUCCUAUGGUCGGCCAAGCUAUCACAAUAGGGUCCAAUUGCCCUUUAAAGACCCCCAAUUUUUAUUCUUUAGCUAUUUGACACUUUUAGCUAUCAAUUUAGGACUUUUGCAUUUUAUGCGAUUUAGUCCUUUUUCCCAAUUGAGCUCACAAAUGUCAAAAUUAACUCACCAAAUUUUUCAUACACUAAGAUAAACAUGCAAUGACUCCAAAAUAGUAAUAAAAUAAUUUAUUUGACUCCAAAUUUGUGGUCCCGAGACCACUGUUCUGACUAGGCCCUAAAUCAGGCUGUUACAAGUAGUUUCUGUAACACCCCUCGCCCAUAUCCGACGCCGGAACAUGGUUCGAGGUGUUACCUGACUUAACUCAAUCAAUUAUGCAAAACCGGGCCGUAAAAUUUUGAUGAUUUGGUUAAAACUUUUACUUUCAUAAGCAAUUUGUUCCUUAAAUGGGCUUACGAGGCCCAAAACAUACAUUCGAGAUGAUUUAAACUUAACUGGGAACUUAAGAAAAACUUGGUAAAAUUCAAGUUUUAGGGUUCCCCACGCCCAUGUGACUCGGGACAUGCCUACGUCCUCAGCCCGUGUGCGACACUGACUUUAGGGCACGGCUAUGACACACGUCCGUGUGGCCUAUCCAUGGGCAAUAUUGACUUAUAGACACGGCUAUGGCACACGCCCGUGUGGCCUAACCGUGGACAAUACUGAUUUAAAAAUUUAAGUGCAGGGGGACACACGGCCAUAACACACACCCAUGGGGGUGAGCCGUGUGUCACACACGGCCUAAACAUACGCCUGUGUGUCUUGCCCGUGUGGAAAAACUAGGAUAUCUUCCAAGUCAUUUUGUUACCCAUUUUGCACAACCUAUACAAGAUCAUUUCAAUGUGCUAAUUUCAUCCCAAAUGACAUCAAUUAAUCCAUAGAAGGCACGUCAUAUACAUUUACCAAAAUAAAUAAUAGCCAUUAUCUAGGCUUAAUACAAAAUGAAGGGCUUUUUAUCUUAAGCCAAUAUACAUAAAUAAUUUCUCAAUAAUACAACUCCCUAGUCUAGCCCUAUACAUGCCAUAAUCAAAAAUAUAAAUCCAACUAUACCGAGUAUUACGGCUAAUAGUGUGAUCGAUAUCUCUGACUACAAGGGAUCCUUGAGCAAAAUGACCGUACCGAAAGAAAAAGGAAGGGAAAGAGAGUAAGCAUAAAGCUUAGUAAGUUGCAUAUAAAUAUAUAUACAACGACAACUUCACCAUUUAUCAAUUAUGCUCAUAGCUCAAAGGUAAGUAUAAACUGGACUUACUCAUUACCAUCAACUCAAAUCAUAUUUUCUAAUCGAGCUCAUUACUCAUGCAUACCAAAUAGGUACCUGUAACACUUACAACAUUAUCAUACUUUCCUUUUUAAAUCUCUUUCUUAACUCUUAAAGUUGAACCUUUUGGAAUACUACUGGAUAUUCUAUAAGCCUCAAAUAUGGGUUAAGUUUCCGCUGUCAUGUCCCAGACAUGGUCUUACCUGGCUAUCUCCAUCGAGGCCGAUGCCAUGUCCCAGACAUGGUCUUACACUAGCUCUCGUGUAUAAGUGCUGAUGCAUGUCCCAGACAUGUCUUAUGCUAGCACGAAACUUAGUCGAUGCAUGUCCGAGACACGUCUUACACUGGCUAACAUCAUCGAGGCUGAUGCAUGUCCCAGACAUGUCUUACACUGGCACUCACCUCUACACCAAUGCCAUGUCCCAGACGUGGUCUUACACGGGCUAUCAUGAUGCGGCUGAUGCAUAUCCUAGACACGUAUUACACUAGCCCUCGUCUCAAUGCCGAUUCCAUGUCCCAGACAUGGUAUUAUACUGGCUCUCACAUAACCCAAUGUCAUGGCAUGAAUAUCCGGUUUGUUUCCUGGGGUUCUUACUGGAUCUUUCAACUUUCUCAAUCAUAAAUACAUAUACUUAGUUCCAAUUCUAAAAAUUUAUGCUAUAUCAAAUCAAUAACAAUCGAAUACAUGCAUUAAUAAUAUAUUUGUAUUAUUUACAUACAACUUACCUCGGUUUAAAAAAAGUCCAUGACUAGUUUGCUUAAUCGGAUUGCUUGGCUUUGCCCCAGUUUAGGCUCGGUUUUAGAAAAUCUUGAUCUAUAAUAACAAAAUGCACUUAUUUAGUCAUUAAACACAAUUAGGCUAUCUAAAAUUUACAUCUUUUGUAAAAUGACCAUUUUGCCCCUAGACUUUAGCAAAAUGACCAUUUUACCCCCAUGCUCAAAAUUUGAUUUUUAUCGAUUUCUUCGUAUUUCAAGCAUAGAUAAACUCUUUUUACUACUAGAGAAACCCCAAAUUCUCACUAUUUCACACACUUGUUACUUAAUUUGCAACUUAUGCACAAUAGUCCCUUUAGGUGUUUUCAUGCUAACACCCUUCAUAAAAGCUGUUUAUAACACAACUAGGAAUCAUAUUCCUCCAUAAAAACUCAGCAUAUAUAACAAAUACGUCCAUGGAAAAAUCAUAAACUCUUGACCAUUUUGUAAGAUAUCACCCUCAUUUGAAAGCUCAUGCUUCAAGGGUCUUAAAAGUGUAAAAAUCUUGAAGAAAACUAAUUAAAAUCACUUACUUAUGAGUGCUUUAAGUUGCUGCAGAUUUUUGAGCUUUCAAACCUCAAUAUUUGAUGAUAAUUUCGGUGAAGAAAGAAGAUGGAGAAGAAGGAAAUGAUAGCUAGGCUUUUAGGCAUUAUUUUAUCACCAAAUCAUGACAUCAUCUACUUAAUACUUUGACUAUUUGUUUAAAAUCCAUCACAUGGCUGACCAACACCAUUAAAAAAGGUGUAAUUUCCCUUUAAAAGAACUAAAUUUUGAUUUUCUAGCUAUUUAACACAUUUGGGUACUAAAAUGUAACUUUUGCCCUUUUUGCAAUUUAGUCCUUUUUUGCAAUCGGGCUUGAAAAUAUUAAAAUUAACUUACCAAAUUUUUCAUGCACUAAUAUAAUCGUACUAUAACCUCAUAAAAAUAAUAAAAAUAAUUUUUCUAUCUUCGGAUUUAUGGUCCCGAGACCACUGUUCCGACUAGGCCCUAAGUCGGGUUGUUACAGUUUCGGAAUCACAAAUCCGAUGAGUAAGAUCGUAUAGUUAAUAUUUAAAUUAUAUGAGUUAAUUGUAAUUUUAUAAUGAAUUUUGAUUUGAGGAAUUUUAACCAGUUGAAUUAAAAAUUAGUAUAAGUGGUUCAGUUCAAAAGUAAAGUGAUUAUUGAAAACGAGGUAUUAGGACCUCGUUUCCAUAAUUUAAAGUUGUAACUAUUUAUUUAUUAAAUAUUUAUAAAGUCAUAUUAUAGGUGAAUUAAAAUUUGGUUCGGUAAUUUUGAUGAUUGGUAGCUUAAUUAAGGUAAAAAGAUUAAAUUGUAAAAGAGGUAAAAGUUAAUUGCUAUAUAUUUAAAAUAGUAAAGGGACCAAAAUGGUAAUUAAACCAUGGUAAAAAAUCCAAGCGGUGGUGACUUGAUUAAAUCCACUUAACUUUUCAGCUAUUUGCUCAUUUAGUCCUAAUUAGCUUAGGAUUAAAUUGAAAUUAAGCUUGUUUAGUUAAAAUUUAAAAUAAUUGAAGGAUCAAUUGUGUAAUUAAAUCUCCUUGAAUGGUACAUAUACCAUAGGUUAUGAUUGUGGACGGUAAUGGGCUUGAAAUUGUUAAAUUUGAAUGAAAAUUAAACAGUAAAAAGGUAAAUGAAUAACUAAACUUUAUAAACAAAAUUAAAAUAAAAUAACCAUCUUCUUCUUUAAGCCAAAAUAAAAUCGAAAUAGCCAUUAGAGAAGAGAAAAGGAUUCAGCCAACCUAGGGCUUCUAUUUGGUUAGCUAAUCCGGUGACUAAUUUGUAAACUGUUAAAUGUUGUGGAUUAUGUCAUUGAUGAGUUUUGUAUAUUCUUGGAAUUUUAUGAUGGAUUAUUAAGUUUAAUUUUUAAAUAAGACAAUUCUGUAAAGUAGUUUUUGAUUAUUUUAACGUUUAAGGACUAAAAUGUUUAAAUGACAAAGUUACUUGUACUUGAUGUGAAAUAAUUGCAAAAAAUGGGUUGUAGAAAGGCACUUGAAUAUUCGGCUAAGCUGAAAUUUGAAUAAAAAUGGUUAAAUUGCAUGUUUUGAGUUAGGGGCUAGAUUGCAUAAAAGUAAAAUAUUGGGAGGAAUUUUGUAAAAAUAUAAAAAAGGAUUUAAUUGCAUAAAAUGAGUUAAUUUUACUGUUGGAAUUAGUUGAUAAAAUUAUAUUAUUAUUCUAGAUCAAGUAUGGUUGAAAAUCGAGGCAUAAAGAAGUUACAUAAUAGUCUCUGUACCUUAUCGUGCUGUAGUUUAGUCAGGUAAGUUUGUAAUAUUUCUUUUUUGUUACAAUGAUUCCAUAUAUAUUACAUGUUUAUUAUAAUUAGAUCUAACAUUAAACUUAACUAUUGAAUGAUUUGAUAAUAAAUAAUAAAUGAAUAUGGUGAACACGUGAUGUUUCUGAAUAUCAGGCUUCGAGCCAGUGUUAUCUAACAGGCUUUGUGCCAGUGUGUUUAUGGGCUUUUGCCUAGUAGGCUUUGCGUCGGUGUUGUCCAUCAAGCCUUGAGCCAGUGAUACAAAUCGUAGUGAUGGCUGAGAUCUUGCAUGUGUUGUGGAUUCUAUACAAUUUGUGUAAGCAACAUCGUGAGCUGGUGAUUAUUUAGCAGGUACUAUGUAUCAUUGAUACAGACUGUAACGAUUGUUUGAGAUCCUGCAUCUGUUGUGGAUUCUCUGCAGCUUGUGUGAGUAGCAUUGUGAGCCGGUCAAAAAUUUGAAAUUAACUCGAAUGAGUGAUACCCUCUGAUUACUUAAGAUUAGAUCUUAUUUAUAUGACGACUGAGAAAGUGAUGUGAAUUAAUGCACUGUGUAAUACUCACAUGUUGUGAGUUGUGUUUGACAGGAACUUCAUUAUUUAAUCUUAUAAUUUGAUCUAUUAUGUUAAUUUGGUAAGAUUUAUCGUUUAAUUUAGCGAAUUUACUAAGCUUCAAGUAAGCUUACUCGUGUCUUGUCCUUUGUUUUAUAGAUUACAUUUUGUGAUCGAAAGUUCGGAUCAACUCGUAGAAUCACACUAUCCCAAUGACUCUUUUGGUAGAUUUUGUAAACAUUUGACUUAUAUGGCAUGUAAUAGGGCAAAUUGUUAUUAUGCUAUAUUUCAUGGCUAUGUGUGAUGUUUGGUACUUGAUGAUAAAAUGUUAGUCUUUGUAGUAUGAUUGUUAAACUUUAGGUAAAUUUGAGUAGGAGGCUAUGAAACGGUAAGUGUCAUAUUAAGUUAGCAUGGUGUGUUUGAAAUGGGUUAGUUUGGUGUAUGUUAUGGCUUAUAGAUUAUUGUUUUGAUAUCGGAUAACACGAGCAUUAUAAUGUGUUUUAGUAUAUGAUACUUGGUAUGGUUUUAGGUGAUUGAAAAUUGCAUGUUUUGGUUGUUUAAAGGUGUGUUUAUAGACUUGUGAACAUGUAUUAUGAAUUGGUUUAGGUACCUAUGAAAUUGGGUGAGGAGAUAACAUGAUCUUGGUCAUUUUUUGGAUACACACGGCCUGAGACUCGGGCUAUCAUACGACCACGUGUCACACGCAGGCAGCGUACACAGGCGUGUGCCUUGAGUGUGUUAGGUACAAGAUUCACACAAGCUAGCACAUGGGCUGAGACAUGGGCGUGUGAGCCAUGUCAGUAAGUUACACGAGUGAGCAUACGGUUGGAUACAUGGAUGUGUGGGGUAGCCACACGGGCGUGUGGUAUAGCAGCACAACCAUGUUUGGAGCCACACAAUCUGGGUUCUAUCACAUGGCUUGAACACACCAAACAUCUCAACUCUUUCACCGUUACGAAAUUUUUAUCCCUUCAAAUUAUAUGCUCUAUGCAAAUUGCUACUCAAACGAAUGGCAAGUAAGAUAUACAUAUGGUAGCCCAUGAUUUGUCCAUGUGUCAAUUUUUAUUAGGAAUUAACACUGUUAGGUCAAAGUACUAAAGUGAUAAUCGAAAAAAAUACGAGUACCAAAGCGAAGAAAUUGAAAGUACAAGUAUCAUGUUGACAAUUUUAUUAAAGUACAGGAGUAAAUCAUACUAUUAUCCCAUAAUUUAAUAUAUAAAUUGUUGAUGUGUCAAGCAAAACACUGCUCACUUUUCAUCAUUUUAAAUAUACAACCAAGGUUAUUUCUAAAGAACUUGUAACAUAUAAUACUAGUUUUUAUCCUAUGAGAUGUUGAUAGUUUAUUCUAUAAAAGUAUUAUUAUUUAAACAAUGAUAUAUUAAUUAAAAUUAUUUGUGAAACAAUAUUAGAAUUACUUAUUAAUAAAAGUAUAUUAAAUUACUUUCUAUUUUUAUAGAAUUAUGUAAACAAUAUGUUCAAAAAGUAAUAAUAAAGAGUAAAUAUUAUUUUCUGUCUUGUACUUUUAUUUAAAAUGUUUAUUAGAAAUUUUAGAAUAUAAAUCCUAAUAUUGAUAGAAUUGUGAAAUUAUUAUUUUUUAAAAUAUUAACAAAUUUUUUUAAAUGUUAAUAUAUAUAUAUAAACACAAACUUUAAUAAACUUUUUUUUUAAAAAAAUCUAACUAAAUUAUAAGAAUAUAAAAAAGAAAAACUAUAAAAAAAUAUUCAAAAUCCGAGUGGAUUUAAAAUAAUUUUUUAGUAUAACUUGAAAUUGAAAUUAAUUAAUUAGUUAAUUAAGUGGGUUUAAUAUUGUAAAAGUUUUUUUAAUAAGGUGAGUAUUUUUUUAUUUAAUAAGCUGUUUUAAAACAUUAACAUGCGUUUUUUUAAAUAUUUAAUAUACCCCUAUAGGACAUUUGUCAACCUUUACUCCAUCUUGUGGAGUUUAAAAACUCCAUUGUCAGUGUAACAAAUAAUUUUUGUUAUAAAAUAAAAAGACAGAAAGUAAAGAACAAAGAGAAUGAGAGAACAAAUAGAGCGUAUUUUAUUGAUCAAUCUGGAUAUCUACAAAUCUUCUCCAAAGUCUAUUAUAAAUGAAGUAGAGAUCUACUUUUAAUGACAAUUAGAAUUUAAAUUACAUCAAAACUUAUAUUAAUCUUGAUGGACAUUCACUUAAUAAGAUAUUCAUAAUACUCAUUUUGGAUGUCCAUUUGUAGAUAAUGUGUCUCGUUAAAACCUUACUAAGAUAAAAACCUCGUGAGAAAAAAAUUCCUAGUUAAGGGAAAAAAAGUACACAUAUCCAUAAUAUGCAUAAUAUGUUGCCUCAUUAAAAACCUUACCAGGAAAAUCCAAUGGAAUAAAACCCCAGUUAAAGGAAAAUGAGUACAAUGCAUAUUUACUCCCCCUCAUGAAAACAUCACAUAAUAUCUCACAUUCUACGCAUUCAAUCUUGAAUACUAGCUUUUUAAAUGAGCAUUUAUAUUACCAUUCUUUUGAAAGUCAUGAGUGAAGGAAAAUUUUGGAGAAUUAUAUUUUGAUCUCUUCAGGAGUUUCAAUAAUAAUCAUAAUAAACUUUAAUCAUGAUUCUUCUAUAAAAACACAAAUAAAUAUUUUGGAUCAUUUUAUGAUCCCUUUCAACUACUAUUCACUAAGUCAAAUUUACCACAUAUGUUUAAAUUAUUUCAAUUCAUAUAAAUGAACAAUUUCCCAAGAAUUUCAAUAUGCUUCUAGCAUUCUAAAUCCUUCAAGAAUUUUAAUAUAAACUUUACCAUAUAGUGAUUCAUAAAAGGUUGUAACAACAAUCAUUAGGCGUAAGUUAAAACUUUUAUGAACUAUCAAUUCAAUAAUAUAUCUAAACAUUAUUGUAUCCACCAAAAAAUAAUAUUAUAUCUUUUAAUAAUCAAUGUUAGGAGUUAGCGAAAAACUUCAUUUAUUUUGCUUUUGCAAAACUAUUUCAUUUGCACCCUCAUUGGCUUUAUACCUUUAGAUAUUUGUACUAUUGGUCCAAAAACUCCACGGAUUUAAUUUUACUUAAGUUGUAUUUCUAUUUUGACCAAUUUAUUUCAUAUCUAUAUUUCUCAAUAGAUUUAUUCAAGAUCCUCCUUAUAUUUCAUUAUUUCAACAAUAAUAUUCCAUGCAAAACCAUUGUCGAUUAAUUUUAUUAUCGGUUCCACAUUUUCUCAAUUGACAUAACUUAUCGAGAUAUUUUAUUUUCACUAUUUUAAUCUUCAAUUUCAGAUAUCUGAAUUUCUUCUGGAGUUUUAGUUAUUAGUUAUGUCUUGGGUCUCUUCUAGAGUACCCACCUCCACUAUAUGACCACCUAGAAGAAUUUUCAUCUUUGAAACCGAUCAAUCUAUUAUUUAUUCUAACUGAUUGUAGGACUUUGAUUCAAAAUAUUAGAUGGUAUAUACAUCUAAUAGGUAACUUGUAAUAAUGUGAGUUAUCCUUUUUUGAACUUCUGGUUCAAAUUACUCUCUAUAAGAAUCUAAAUAAUGAUAACUCAUUACAAGUAGUGAUUUCAUUCAACUAUUAUUUCUCUCCCCUAAUAUCGGGAAAACUAUCAAAUCAAAAUAGUAAUCACACAUCAUGUCAUAAUUGAAUCUCCAAAACAUUCAAAACAUCUAAUAAUAUAAGGAGACUUGUAAUUAAUAUAUAUUUCCAACUUUCUUUGAGGAUUCACUCAUCUUUGUGCAUUGUGGUGGAGCAAUUUCAACAUAUACUCACAUAAAAAAAAUAAAGAUGAGAAAUAUUUAGCUCUUGACUAAAAACCAAUUGUAAUGGAGAGUAUUUAUAACUUAUUGGCUUGAUGCGUACAACACGUAAAUCAACAUAAUCUCAUGUUAAAAUAGGAAAUUUAGUUUUCAUUAGUAAUGGUUUAGAUAUUAAUCAGAUGUGUUCAAUUAAUAAUUUCUCUAAACUAUUAUGUGCAUAAAUAAUAAGCUUUUACGAAAGUUUUUCAAACUCAAUCAAUAAAAGUUUGAGAUAUAAACUCAUCAACUUUAGCAAUAUGAAUUGUCUUAAUUACAUAAUCUGAAAUUAAUUAUUUAAAUAAGCAAUCUUGCAAACGACAGGUUGUAAGUUGAUAACACAUAUGUAAUUAUUUUGUAAAUACAUCUAUCAAAAUCAUAUAAUAUCAAAAUUAUCCAUAUGGUGGAUGAAUGAGCUCAUAUUCAUUUUAGAAAUACAAGAUAUUAAAUCUCAACUUCGGUUAGUGAGUUUUUAAUAAUCAAUUUUCAUUGAGAACAAGAAGAAUCUUCUGGUUCUUUAAUGAAUGUCCGUAUGAAUUAUCAAUUAAUUUUCGCAUCAUAUAUGAUUCAAGAUGGUCUAUGUAAUACCCCGAAAAUUUUUACAGUAAAAUAUUAUCCGUGAUAUAGUAAAAUAAGGAAAUAAAGUGACAAAAAGGGAAUUUUUGAGUUAUGUCAAUAUUGGGAAUUAUAUUAUGAUAUAUUAAUUCAAGAAAGGACUAAAUUGCAAAGAUGAGAAAAGUCUUGUUGCACAAGAGUAAAUACUCAAAAUUUAAGGGGUUGAAGUGUAAAUAUAAAAAAGUUGAAGGACUAAUGGUGCAAAUAUUUUAAGGGUGGAAUGAUCUAGAAACCAAGAAAAAUUGAUGAAUUAGGACCAAAUUGAAUAGGUGAAAACUUAUGAGGGACUAAAUCGCAAUUUUACCAAAUUAAGUGAUGACUCAAGGAUGGAAUUCUAAAAGAUCAUGAAGGGAAAAAUGGUCAAUUAGUAAGAGAGAGAAUUCUAAAAUGUAAUGAUUAUGUUGAUGAUAUUUUAAAUUAAUUAAUUAGAUAAAUAUUAUUUUAUUAAUAUUUUUAUGAGAUGUUUAUUAUUAUUAUAUUAUUAUUUAUUUAGCAUAAAAGGAAGGAAAGAUGAAGAAUUAACAUCACAUUUCCUUUCCCAUGCAACCAACGUUAGAAGAGAAGGAAAAGAAAGGAAUUUUGUUUUCUUUACAAUUUGGUCAUUCUACCAAAAAUUCACCAUUUUCACCUAGAAAUCAAAAGAAUUUCCAUAGCUACUAAGAGAGAAAAAUGUUAAGGAGACCAUGGGGAGUUAGAAUAUCAAGCUGGAUUCAAGAAAUAGAAGCUGGAGGAGAGAGAAAAUCAAGUUAAAGAUUAGUAUCAAUAGAACAAGGUAAGUAUAUCAAGAUUUCAAUAUGUUUUUAAGUUUGUUAUUAUUGACAAAGCAUGGAAAUAAUGUUAUAGUAGAGUUUUCUUACAUAAGGUCCUAUGUUCUUGAUAUGUUAGUGAAGAGAAAAUAAGAGAAAGUGAUGAGAAAUGGUGUAGAAAAAGAAAAUAAGAGUGUUAUAACAUGUCAAUUAAUAUCUUGUACUAAAACAGUUUUAGACAGCAGUUGUAGUCUAACAUUGAAAAAUCAUCAAAAAAUUGUAGAAAUAUAAUUAUAGGAUGAAUAAAAUAUUAAAUUAAAUCUUAUUAAGUCUAGUUUCUUAUAGAAGAAAUGAUGUAAGCAAUGGAACUGUAAAUCAUGAGAUAUGAUGAAUUUUGUGAGACAAGGUCAGAAUGAUUUUGGGUUCCCCUAUUUUGACUUUAUAAAAUAAUAAAAAAUUGGAUAGAAAUAAUUAUGGGAUUAAAUUUAUAUUUUUAGAAUCCUGAAUGAGUCUAUUUUCAAUAGAAAAAAACGGGAACAUCAUUUGAAUUCUGUACGAGGAGAUAAUUAAUUUUUAGUGAAGAAGGGCCAGAACUGUUAGACAGCAGAACAAGGGUAACUUUAAAGAAUAAAAUGUACUUAUUGGCUAAACCAAAAAUUCUGAAAAUUUUUUGGUAAGAAUAUAUAGAAGUCUAGUUUCAGUAAAAAUUAUCGGAUCUUAAUUUUGAGUUAUAUAACUCCAGAUAUAAAUAAUUUAGUGACUAUGAUGCAGAUAAACAGCUUGAAUAUUCAUAAAAGUAAAUAAUAAAAAUUAUGGAUAAUGUUACUUACAAGUGUGUUAUAUCUACAGUAAGGAUGUGGAAUGGAGAGGAGGAGGAGGAAAAAUAUGUAUGAAUAUUCAUCUAGCAUGGCUAAUUUGUAUAUUUUAGGCUCAGAGACAAAAUUGAAUAAAAGUAAAACUUUAUGGGCAAUUUUGUAAAAAUAUCAAAAAUGACCAAAUUGCAUGAAAUGGAUUAUUUUAUUAUUUAAAUUACAAAAUUGAAUGAAAUUAUUAAUUUAGUUCAAGAUUGGGGGAAAACAUGUUUUAGGGAUUAAAUUGAAAAGUGUUGAAAUUAUAGAAAAUUCUGAUAUUUUAUAGAAUUCAUGAACUGUUAUCAAUACAUAUGAGAAUAAUAGCUAGAAAUAAGGAUUAAAUUGCCAGAAUUUUAUUUUCCCUGACCCUAAGGAUGAAAUCGUCAUUAAUUAAAAGUUUAGGGGCAAAAUGGUAAUUUUUCCUAGAGCAUUAAUUAAAUGCAUUAGAAUAUGAAAUAAAUGAAAAUGAUGAUCAAAUUUAUUUAUAAAGAUCCAGACGACUCAAAUAUGAGACUUGAUUGUAGAAAAGAAAAGAUAUCGGAUUAAUGAAAUUAUAAACACAAACAAGCAAUGAGGUAAGUUCGUGUAACUUGAAUUAUAUUCUUAAAUGCUUGAAAUGUAUGUUAUUGAUGUGAAAAUAAUUUGAAUGUUCAUUGUAUGAAAAUUGAUGGAACAUUGAUAUAUUUGAUAAAAAGGGGAAGAAAUCCCGGUUGAAUAAAAGGAAAUUUCGAUGGAUCUCUGAAAAGGAAUUGACAGUAAAAAGGAUCUAGCCCAGACGGGUGACCCUAUCCUGAUAUAGCCCUCCCGAAGAAUACGUGUAAAUGGAUUUAGCCCGGACGGGUAAUCCAAAUUAGGGUCUAAAUUUAGCCUGGACUGGUAAUUCAGAUCCAAGCUCAUUAGACUAUUUUGUCGUUGCAGGGGAUUUAGCCUGGACUGGUAAUCCCGACAAUACUCUAUGAGUUUAUAUUACAGGGGAUUUAGCCUGGACUGGUAAUCCCACUGUAAGGAUGAGGUUCGCAGGAGUGUGCUCUCUGAUAUGAAAUGCGUAAGACUAUGGUUGAAAGAUACCAUGGCAACCUGAUAUGAAAUGUGUAAGACCAUGGUUGAAAGAUACCAUGGCAACAUGACGGGAAAUGAAUAAGACCAUGGUUGAAAGAUACCAUGGCAGCGUGACAUGAAAUGUGUAAGACCAUGGUUGAAAAAUACCAUGGCAACAUGACAGAAAAUGAGUAAGACCAUAGUUGAAAGACACUAUGGCAUCAUGUCAAAGAUAAAUAAGACCGUGGAUGGGAGAUGCGAUGACAUCUAUUGAACAAUUGAUAUUCAGGUAAUAUGUAUCAGAUGACGAAUGGUUAUAUGAAAUAGUUGUGUGAAAUGUUUACAAGAACUGGUCAUAUGGAAAUAUAUGUACAAAAUAGUUGUAUGAAAUAAUUAUGAAGAUAGAUAAAAAAAAUAAGAAUAAGAACAUGGAAUAUAAUUUAUGUUAAGUUUGAUAUAAACUUUACCUGAAUAAAUAUAUAUAAAAUAUAUGGAAAUGAUGGUGCAUGAAAUAUUGAUAUAAUGAAAUGAUUGAUAUAUACUUAUGAAGAAACGGUAAGAGAAUGAUAUGUUUCAUGACAUGUACAUAUAUGAUUAUCUUUGAUAUGUUAAUACAAGGAAAUUAUGUAAGUAAAGACAAUUAUUAAACUCAAGUGUAACAUGUCGAGAAAAUAAGUAUAUAAAUGUUGAAUUUAUAUGAAAUAUAUGCAAGUAUACUAACAAUGAUGUUGUUUGACGCUUAGACAAGUGUCAAGCUAUUAAUUGAAUGGUAACAUGUUUAAUUAUAAGAAGUAUUGAAAUGGUAAGUACUUAGAUGGAAAUAAAAUUUAAGAUUUUGUGAAAUUUUUUUUAUGAUCCCGAUUUAAUUCUGGUUGGUUUUUAAUAUAUGUUUGGGGCUUCGAGGGCCUAAUAGAGAGACGUUAUGAUUAUUUUCAAAAUAUGAAUAAUAAAUGACUCAGAAUUAUCUGAAAGUAUUCAGUAAACUCCAGUAAUGCCUCGUACCUUUUCCGGCAAUGGAUACGGGUAGGGGGUGUUACAGUCUAACUGGUCACGGCAAGUAGUUAAUGCAUUUUAUCAGUAAACAUCUGAUUUACUUUAACAUGCAUUUCAAUUGUACUAAUAAUGUCAAUAUAAAUUGUGACAAAUUGAUAAUUUUACUGCCAUUCAUUUUACUUUGUAUCCACAUAUAAGUACUAUUGUAACAUUUACUACUGAAAAUGUUUAAAUUAAUGUGAAGUUUAUAAUGCCACUAAGUCAACAAAAUAAAUAUAAUUUCCAAACAAUUAUAUGCAGUAUUCGCUUCAAGGAAUAUGCCAAAAUCUUCAAAUAUCCAUUAUAAUGUAUAUUUUUAAAACUAAUGUAUUAACCAUAUCUUUUAUUUCUUUAUGUUUGCAUUCACUUCGGGGAAUACAACAAAUCUAGUAAGACAAACUUCUAAAUGCCUCCAUUGAUUCUUUAUUUCAUAAUCACCAUCCGAACAUGCAUGGAUUUCAAAUAAGAAUCUAUCUAUUCAUGUGGUCAUGAUUAGUCUCCAAUUAUAAUAAACAGGAUAUAAUAAAUAAAUCAUAGUAAAAUAUAUUUAAAGAUCUUUAACAUCAUUGUCAUCACCCAUAUAAGGAUUAUAUAAAUUUCUUUGGAUAAUGAUUACCUAUAGUGCGCAAGCCUCAAUUCAACAAAUUUGGAGUGACCAUAUUAUAAAAUAAAAGAGAACCGUGCUGAUAACGUGUUAUAAAACAAAAAAAGAGAGAAAGUAAAGAACAAAAAGAAUGAGAGAACAAAGAGAAAGCGUAUUUUAUUGAUUUUACAAAGCUUAUCCAAAGUCUCUAUUUAUAGUCAUAAGAAGUAUAAAUGAAGUAGAGAUUUACUUCAAAUAACUAUUAGAAUUUAAAUUACAUCAGAACUUAUCUUGAUCUUGAUGGACAUUCAUUUAGUAAAAUAUUCAUAACAUUUUUCUUUUUAAUAUGGAUUAGUAUUUGGUACAUUGACAGUACACUUUUUUUUCCACAAGUAGUCCUAAAAAAAUGUUAUGUCUCUUUUUUUUUAAAAAAUAUUUAUUUUUUAAUAUUAUACUACAUCUCUAUAAGACACUUGUCAAUUUUCUAACCAUGCUUAUGGAGUUUUUAACUCCACUGGCAAUAUACCAAAUAUUAUUCCUUUUAAUUAUAUUAUUUAAAUAUUUAAAUAGUAUUUUAACAAAUUUUUUUACAAUGUAUAUAAAAAAAAUGAUUGGUAAGUCGGCUUUAAAUUUUUAACAAUACUUAAAAUACUUUAUUUCUAUUUUUAAAAACCGUUAAAUUAUCUAUUAACAUUUAUGAAGAAAAUUAAAUAUUUUUUAAAUAAUUUUAAAUUUCAUAUAUAUUUUUUUCUUUUUAAACAAAUAUUAAUUAUGUUUGUUAUUAGUUUUUAAUAGUAUUGUUGAGAAAUAUUUUUAAAUUAUAUUUAAAUAAACUUUUUGUUACUCGUGUAAGAAUACUGAAAUGCCAAAUGGCAAAAAAAUAUAACGUUAGUACAAAUUUUUUUAGGAACUUGUAAUAUAAUAUAUAUUAUUAGAGAUUUAAUCUCUAUUCUUCAAUUUCUAAUAUAAUUUGGUCUUCAUAUUUUUAUAAUAUUUGUAAUUAAUUCAAAUAAUUAGUAUUGUUGAUAUGUUAUUAAUUAGUCUAAGUAAUCAAUAUUGUUAAUUUUUCGAUUAAAAUAUUACGUGGUUAUAUAUAAUUUGAAUACCUUAAAAGUUUGUAGAGAUAAACAAGUUUGUGUCGCUUAUUUGACAUUAAGACAAUGUUUAAAUUUUAAUUUUGGCCUUAAACUAUGUUGAAACUAUCUAUAUAUUUUAAUUCUUAACAUAAUUCAAUCCCUCUACUUUUACAAUAUCAUUAGUCAGUGUAAAUAGUUAAUAUUAUUAACUAUUCCAAUCAAAAUAUUGUUGUCCAAUUUUCUCAAAAACACUUUUUUAAGUAAGGGUGAGUAAAAUUCGAUCUGAUUCGAAAAAAAAAAUCAAAUUUUGAGUUAACUGAUUCGAGUUAUUUGAGUUAACUCAAAUAAGUAAUUCGAUUUUCGAGUUAGAAUCGAGUUGAAUUUUUCAAUUUGAAUAACUCAAAUAAUUAAAAUAAUAUAUUGAUGUAAAUACCUUUUUGGUCUAUGUCAAUUAUAAUAAACUAAAAAAAAUUGUAGAAAGUUAAAAUUUUAAAAAUUUUAUAAAAUAUUAAUUUUGAGGACCUAAAUAAGUUAGUUAAUGAUUUAAGUUUAUCCUACUAAAGUAUCUUUUAUUAUUAUUAUUUUGCUUUAAAUUUUUUUUCAAAUAUAUAUGAUUUUAAAUUUAUGUGCUCUAACAUAGAAUUAGUUAUAUUGAAACAAGAUUUUAAUUUUUUUAAAUUUAACUCGAACAAUUGCACUUGAUUCGGCUCGAAUUUGAUUUCACUCGACUCGAUUAGAAAAAAUUUCAAAUCAAGUUAGUAUGAUAAAAUAGGACUCGUCAACUCGGAAUUUUUUCACUUGUUUCGAUCGAACACUCACCCCUAUUUUCAAGAGAAAAAAUUAUCAUGAGAAUUUUGAAUGAGUAUUUUUAAGAAAAAAAUCUUAAUAAAUAUUUCCAUUGUUAUUGUUACAUGGCUAUCAAGUGAAUUUAUUUUAGAAUUUCAAAAACACAACAAAUUCAGUAAAAGAAAUUUAAUGGCACUAAUUGAACUUAGAAUUUUAAAUCCAAAAAGUAGGAAUAUAUAUAUAUAUAUUAUAGAAAGAAAUAUAUAUUUUUUUAAAAAUAAAAAGUAAGUGAGUAAAUUAUAAAGGUAUGAAAUGUAUAGAAAUUUAAAGCAUAUUUUAACUAAUUUUUUAUUUUAGAACAAAUAAAAGCGUGGACUGGAACCAUGUUCCAUGCUGGCAAGAAAGAACAGAAAGGGGCAGAACUAGAUUUUUGUUUCACAUCACAGUUCACAACAGCCUAAAACACAAAUCAAAAACAGAGUAAAAGGGAAAAAGAGAUGAGCACUAUAAUUAAAAAGGUCUUGGCCCAGGUGCCCCAGGUGGCCCAGGCGGCCCGCCGAACAUUGGCCCACAGCAGCUUUCAAAUAUGCAGCAGCAGCAGAGAACAUAAAAACUGUACCCCCAAAAUAAAAGAAAACAGGAAUCGAGGUUAGCAAUUUAGUCCCCUAACUUUGAAGUGGAAAAGGAAAAUGCUAGAAUUAUUAGUAACGUGUAAUGAAAAAUUGAAAUACUCAAAUACAUAAACUGAGCGUAAAACUUUAAUAACAAUGCAAUUAACUUAAAUUCAGAUCACAUUUAGGAUACGUUAAUACAUUGGAUUUAAAAUCCAUAUAUAUUUUUAAUAUCUAAUAUUACAAUUUUAAUGAUUUACUUCAAAAUUAAAAUUAAUUAAUUUACUCCUAACAACUUUUAGAUUUUGCAUCUAAGUGACUUGCACAAAUAUGAUACCUCUCUUAACAUAUUGACACCAUGUUGGUUAAAAAUAUCUAACAGUAAUAGUCUACAUUAAAUAAACAAUUAAAUGUUUUUUAAUCUAUUUAAAAUUGAUGGAGGAUUAAUAAAUUAAAAAAAGAGAGAGAAAGAAAUAAGAUAUAAAAAAAUGCAAAACUAACAUAAUUUUCUUUUGUCACAACAUAAGAAUUAACAAGGCAUGAUAAAGAGUUGAAAAUGCAUAUAUAUAUAUAUAUAUAUAUGUGAUCAAAAAAGGCUAGCAAAGGCAAUAAAAUGACAUACCCAAACAAUAUAUUUAUAUGAUCUUUGUAAUCAUAAGAUAGUAAGCCUAUCUAACUCACCAAGAAGAAAGAAGACGGCAAAUACCACCGCAAAUAAAAUCAAAGCAGCCACAUAAACCGGGAGGCCCCGGCGGUCCUCCUGGAGGCGGUCCCCAUCCUGGUGGCGGC